AAUCAUUGAUAUGUUCAUGCGGCAUCAUCCAUCCUUGGAUUCUUAUUUAUGACAUUCAGACAUAAUACAUAAGUUAUAUGGGCAUUAUUUAACUAAUGAGCUUGCAUAUCUUCAUUUCUCACUUUUACGUUGCCAAGCCCAUCUGAAAAAACAUAACGGAAAAAAAAUAAAUGACGUAAUUCAUGAUUUUCAAGAAUCUUAAUCUUGAUUAUAGAAUUCGAACCUCUUACAUGAUCAGUUAUUAGAGAAAUGUUUGCGGCUGUAGCUAUUGGUGGGACCAGUUUCCUUGGUGGUGAGGUUAGAACGGGCUUUGCCAGAAUAAAAAGGUUCGUCCCAGUCUGAGUCGCUGCGGGCAACGAAUUCAGUGUAACCGCCAGCCGUCAUGGGGGUUCCUUCGUUGUCUGAGUCAGAGUCCGACUUCUCGUGUGUCAUUUGACGGCCCAUUUCGGUUGGUUUCUUCUCUACUUUUCUAAACGACAUCGAUUCACCUACAAAGUUUUGUUUUUCUCUUAUUUUUUUGUUUAGCUAAAAUGUAUUGCCUUGGUGAAUUCGAGAGUUAAGGUUCCAUAUUUAUAGAUGAAGUUGCAUGUUGUAUGAACUUAUCAUAAGUUUGCACAUUGUUUGGAUUCCUCAAGCUUUUGUUACAUCAUUUUAUGAAUUAGAUUCAUUUCAAGUGGAUGAGAUUUACGUUCUUCACCUUUUGUGUUUUGACUAUAUAUAUUACUAUCAUUAUAGGGGAAAAUAUAGUAUAGAUAAGUAUAUAUGUUACAACAAAAAUUCGCUUAGAAAACGAUUUUUUUUGUGUAUGUGGUACAUGUAAAUUCGAUAUGUGGUAGAAUGUAGUUAAAGUCGGGAUGACCACCACAUUCUACCAAAUAUAUGUCUUUUUUGUGAUUUGUAUACUUGGACCAAAGAAAUGUUCAAAGUUUUUUGUAUCAUAGGUUUGAGUGUGGAAUGAACUGGUUUCCAAGUUUAAUGCAACUUUUUUUUUCUAGUAUGAAAAAAUCUAUGGUAUCAGUCGUUGAUGAUCCUCUUCUACCAUUCUCUCCAUAAUAUGAGAAUUCCAUUCCCAAUAUGGUUUUGGCCUCAACAAGCUCAGAUCAUAUCUACCAUUCUCUUGUAAUCUCUCUGUUCGUUAUCUAGGCUUCUGCUAUCCUUCACCAAACUUGACAAAGCAGAUUAAAGUUUUUUUUGCCAACUUCUAUCAAUAAUAAUGGCACAAAAAAGUUUUCUUACUAUGCGUUAAAUGCUAGUUAUUGCAAAAGAACCUCAAGCUUUUUCUUCCAUCAAGCUUUGAACAAGAUUCCAAUAGUAACUACUCAAUGCCAUUCUCAAUCGGAUUUAUACCUCCACAAAAUGUUACUUUAGCAUAUUAAGACAAAAAACCAAAUAAGAACCAAACGCAUCUAAACUAGCGUUGAACUCACGCGUUCAAAAUCAGAAUUAUAUGCCCAUUGAGUUGUAUAAUAUACAAGCUGAUUAAAGAGGAAGUGACUUCGAAAACUACAUAUUUACAUUUGCUUUACUAGACUGAAGAUUUCUCUUGUUCUUGAGUUGUUGAAGCUUCUUCAUCAUUACCAAGUUUAUCAUCAUCAUCUUCAGACUUCCUCAGAGCUUGUCUAAGACCCAACACGAUAAACAAAUUGGUAAGAGCAAGAAGUGAUUCAGCUCCUCCAUGUAACCAAUCAACAUUCGACAACGAUGUUCCAUAAUGCACCUUAGCUGAAAUUCAUUCAUUAUCAUUUAUCAAAACCCAUAUAAUCAAUUUUCAAGAACCAUUAAAAAAUUUAAGGGGGUGUUAUUGGUUUAUUAAUUUGUAAAUCCAUAUAGGAUUUGGAAAUUUCUAUUAAUUAUGAAAUCAAGAUAUAUAGAUUUUGAAAUAACAUGUGUUUACCCAUGGAUUUGAAUCCUUCUAUUUUUCUCUUUCAAUUCCAUACAAAUCCAUUUAAAACAUAAUUUGGAUUCUCAAAUCCAAAAACAAAUGACAAAACGAAUAACAUAGGAUUUUAACUAGUAUUUAUAAAUCAUGGAACUAAUAACACAUGAUUUUAAUUAGGAUUUUAAAAUCAAUGAUUGAAUAACAAAUGAUUUUUGUUUGGAUUUCUAAUUCCUUAUAAAUCAAUGAACCAAUAACCCCUCCUUAAAUCAAGGAGAAGAUUAAUGUUUUAAAAUCAAGAAAAGUACCAUAAAUCCCAGCAGGAACUGCAUUCCAUCAAAUCACCAAAGCCAGGAAAAAAAAAACAGAGGAAGGAUUAAGAUCGCUAAUAAAAAAACAGAGCAUGCGUUUACGAUUUGGCCGCAAACGCUGAAAACAGAGUACUUACUUGUAGCUCCAACGAAGGCAAGCAAGAAGUAGAAACCAAAAAGUGUGAGUUUUGGAGCUGAUUUGGAUUUAGUGAGGAAAUAGAGAAAGCCAAUGUAAGGAAACAGAGACACAGCGAAGAGUUGUGAUGCUAUGCUCUGUGAAUCAAUGGUUGGAGCCCAUGGAUCCACCGGAAACAUCCCUCCUGCGUUACACACGAUUGAUACUCUCAAAUCAUCUCUUCUUGCUUUCUUCUCUUUCGUAUCGGUGAAGUGCAAGAAGAAGCUUUUGUUUCUAGAGAUUGAGACAGUAGACUGAGAAAGCCCCCGAGUGGUGAACGGAGAUGAGCCCACAAAUCUAACGGCUGAGAUUAGCGUCGGGGAGUUAGAAUUUAUCAGAAUCAUGUCUCUCUGUUACUCUCACGGUGAGAGAGAAGGAAAACGUUGGUGGAUAAGAGGAGAGAAAGAAAAAGAAGAUAGAGGAAAAAACUUCGUGCCGUUUAGAUCUGCGUAAACUACAUAUGUGUCGUAUUUUUAGGAAAAAAGCCAAUGUCAGACUAAACCGGGUUGAACCAAACUUAAGCUUUAGAUAGAGAGUCUCUCAAAAGUCAAAAGUCAUUUAAAACAUGAUUGUAUGACUUGCCACCUAAAUCUAUGUAUUAGAAUAAUAGGUCUGAACAUGUUUCGGCCCCUUGAGAAUCUCUGGCGCCAUUUAAUCACCGGUCAUAGAGUUUUUGUCAGUGGGACGAGAGAAAAUGACUGACUAGAUGAGAAAAGAAAGGAAGACCAAAAUUACAUAAAACUUAUAGACUAGUCUUUAAAGUCAGAAACAAAACUGAGCAACACUAUCAAAUAAUGUCCGGGAAAUGAAACGAAAAUGUUUUCGGACAUAGGGGUGAUGGGGACCUAGGAGGGAACUGGUUCAAGCGUGGCCUGCUCGUGCCAUUCUCCAUUUAACUUUGACUGCCACAAUUUGACCAUUCCAUCACUUCCAGUGCUAGCUAAAGUCAUGCCACUCAUGUCCCAUUCCAUCUGCCAAACCUGACCAGGAAACACCAAACUAGUGUAACUUAGUUAUGUUUUAUGCCAAAUUGCCAAUCAAACCCUAUAGUUAAGUUCUCAGCAACUCCAACAAACACCGAAGAAUCAGAAGAGAUAUGAAAGGUAAAGAGCAGUGGAAUUUGAUACCUCGCCUUGAUGGCCAGAAAGCGAGGAGACCUUCUUUACUGGAAGCCUUCCUUCAAGAUCAGGAGCUAGACCAACAUGCCAUAUUCCUAUGCCUUUAUGAGUUGCAACAGCAACAACCUCGUAUGGUCUGUAGUGAAAGAUAUACAAAAAGAGGAUUAGUUUGAGUGUCUCAAGACAGCAACAACCUCGUAUGGCCUGUACUCAACCAAGAUUGUUUGAAUUACCGGCCAAUAUUUGGAGCCCAUGACAAAGCAUAAACUGGAUCACCUUUGUCUUCUGGUAAGGCUAAUUCUGCUACUGCCAACCAUCUGUUAUGAGCUUCAUCAAACUCCCAUAUCUAAAACAACAAAAUAAAUGGUGAUUCCUUCUAUUCGAUUCCCAGUUCAAAGAAAGUGAAAUAAAAGUCUCAGUUCAAAAUAUACCUUGGAAGAGUUAAGAUGUGGAGAGUCAGAGUUGAAGGCUAAAACAAAGCUUGGUUCUUGCUCUUCGCCUUUCAUCGGAUUCCAAGAAACAGAUGCAGAUAAGCUUGAAGGUUUACCGAGCAUCGAUAGAGAAUCGAUCACAUUCUGAAACUCGGCCUACACAGAAUGGUGAGAAAUAAGACAAGAGUAGAGAUGUUCAAGAAAUCGAUAGAAACAACAAGCCACCUGAAGUUGCCAAUUCUUUAGUUCCAAAGGAUUCAACAGCUCAAAAACCCUAAGGUAACCAUCAGAAUAUGCUGCAACCUACAAAAAUAAUCAAUGAAUCAUUCAAAAACCAAACCAAUCAAAACAAAAAACAGACUCUCUCACCAUCUUUAGACUCUUUCUGGAAACUCCAAAUUGAACAUCGAGCACUUGGCUAGACUUGUUCUUUAUACUCUUACACAAUUUCCACUCAAGAGCAUGUGAGUCUACCAAAAACAAAACAACUCUAUAAGAUAAACAGUUUUCAAACAAUGGACUUAGCAACGAAUCCAUGGAGAUUUUUUCACAGUGAGUUUACCUUCAGAGAGCUCCUCCCAAGUUGAUAAGCUCCCAUCUUCGCAAAUGCAGGCUACUGCAUCGCCGUACUCUGAAGGCAACCAAACGAUCUUUACGAUACUCGAUUCACUAACCCUAACUUUGGAAGUGCAAGUGAAAGUCGAAGAAGACGAAGUAGAGGAGUCGUAUACGGAAAAGCUUCCGUCGAGGGAUCCGGUGGCUAAUCGGCGGCCGGAGUGAUUCCAGGAGGAACAUGUGGUGCCAGAAUCUAGCGUCGCCAUUGAUUUCGCCAUUUUCUCGUGCACACUGAGAAUCUUCGGUGGUUAGGCGAUUUUUUCGAUUCGAUUUCUAAUUCGAGAUUGGGCCUUUUUUUUGGGUGCAAAAUUCGAAAUUGGGCCUAUUACGCAUUUAAUUGGCCCAUUUAUGCAAUCGACAAAUCGCAUAUGUUGAAAUUGUUUAUUCCGUUGUUGUUACGGUUACUAAAACUGUUAUCACAUUUGUUGUUAGCCGAUACAAAACGUAAUUUUUUAAUUUUUUAAAAAAGCUUUUUUAAAUCUUAAAUAUUAAUAAAGAAAAUUUUGAUAAAGCUUAAGAUUAUAGAUAUUUUUGACCUUCUAUAAAAUUUAUAAUAUUUGAAAAGAUACUAUAAAGUUUAAAUUGGUAAUAUGAUCAUUGCAUAAAAAUAUUAAAUAGGAGACAUUUUUUACAAAAGAUACUCAUAAAUUGAGAUUUUUAUAUUGUCUUAUUAGUUAGAUCCUUGAAUAUUUGUUUUGAUUACAUGCAAACGAGAAAAUAAUACAUAUUUGGAUUUGUAUAUCCAAAAUGUGUGUAAUUCAACAUUUGUACAAAUAUAUGAAAAAGAGGAGUUGUCACUUAGAUCCCGAUGUCAUAGAGACGGAGCAGCAAAAAUCUUGCACCAUUCUCUUUGCUAAUAUUGUCAUAGAAGUAUCACCAAAUCAUUGCAAAUUUAAGUUCUAACAAAGAGUGAUACAACAUUCGGUUAUUAGGAUUUAAUGUAUAUUUGAGUAUUAUGUUUUACUUCUUGGAUUCAUAGAACCUAAGAGGAAUAUAUAUGGUAAAAGUGCUUAAGGUUAAUCGUGUCAUUCAUAUGUUUACGGGUUGAAGCAGCUGUUGAUGAAGUAGCUAUGGACGAAGCAUCAAUUUCAAUUUUAUCAUGCAAGAGUUGGCCAAAUAUGAGAGUGCGGAAAGAGAAGUUCAAAGACUGCAAUGGAUAAUCAUGGAGAAUGAGUCAAAUGACGAAAAGGAAAUACUGAAAUCUCACUUUGAGGUUGUGAAAGCGAAUGUGAAAGCUUUUGUGAGAGAGAUGUUGCAAGCAUCUGACAAGGAAAGGGCUCUAGAAGUUGUGAAGAAAGUGAGGAGGACUUCAGAGGAGUACCUAUGGACGAAGCAUCAAUUUCAGUUUCUGAAUCCAUCAUGCAACAGUUGGCCAAAUAUGAGAGUGCGGAAAGAGGUUUCAGAGACUGCAAUGGAUACUUAUGGAGAAUGAGUCCAAUUGUUGCAUGAUGAGUUUAAAUUGGUAAUAUGACCAUUGCAUAAAAAUAUUAAAUCAUAGACAAUUUUUAACAAAAGAUACACAUAAAAUUGAGAUUUUUAUUGUCUUCUUAUUUAGACUCUUGGAUAUUUGUUUUGAUUACAUGGAAACGAAAAAAAUAAUACAUGUUUGGACUUGUAUAUCCAAAAUGUGUGUAGUUCAACAUUUGUACAAAUAUAUGAAAAGAUGAUUGGCGCUUAGAUCCUGAUGUCAUAGAGACGGAACAGGACAAAUCUUGCACCAUUCUCUUUGCUAAUAUUGUCUUAGUAGUAGCACCAAAUCAUUGCAAAUUUAAGUUCUAACAAAGAGUGAUACAACAUUCAGUUAUUAUGGUUUAAUGUAUAUUCGAGUAUUAUGUUUUACUUCUUGGAUUCAUAGAACCAAAUAACAAGUAAGAGAUACAUUAAUACCUAAUCAAAAAAUGCAUAACCGCAAAGAGAUACAAAAACUCAAUGAGUGGUAUAACAUUCCCAAGCCUUAAGGUUUUCUACUAAUCUAAAAUAGAUUUUCGUGAUAUAAAAGUUGUAGAUACAUAUAAAAUAUGUAUUAUAUACAAGAAGAGUCUUAAAUAGCCAUACAAUAUUCUAUCACUUUCUAAUAUAUAAGUCUAUAUUUGUUUCAAGGCUAAUCGACGAUUUAUUUCUCUAACUCCAAUAAACUCGUCAAGAGGCUCGGAAACAUAGUUGAUGACACUAUUUCGAUGACGCUGAUCAAAAGAAAAAUUUGAAUGUGGGGUUUGAUUGGUAGGAUCUGUCCAUUUAUUAAUUUCAGAGCUUUAAAACUAAACAAUUAUGCUUUACAAUAUUUUUUAAAAGCUAUAGCUAAGAAAAAAAGUUCUUUGAAAAUAUUGCUUUUCCUUUAAAAAUAUUUAUAAAUAUUAUUCAGAAUUUUUUUUAAAUAUAAAUAUUAUUCAAACAAAGCAGAAAUAAAUAACUAGAAAAAAGGCUGUCCAAAAAAAAAUUGAAAGGCGUUUGCCAGCCACGUUAAAAAACGUAGUAAUCGCGUCAUCAUUUCGGAAAAAUGGGUAAAAAAAUCCUCACAUUUCUUAAAAACAUAGAAAAAACCCUCAAUUUUUUUUGUGGGUUUUUAAACCCUCACUUUUUUAGAAAUGGUUAAAUAAACCCUAAUAUUAAUAAACUUAAUUUAAUUUUUUUUAAAAUCAUUAUAUUAAAAUAGUAAGAAACAAAAAUAAUUUAAUUUAUGAUUUUUUAUUUCAAAUUUGAGUUUACGAUUUUUUUCUAAAAUUAGGGUUUUUACGCUAUGAACAUUUAUACACCAUUUAGUUGAGAUUAGACAAAUUAUUUUUGUUACAAUUAGAAGUUAUGUUAUAUAAACUACAAAAUUUUAUAGGAUAUCACAUUUGAUUUUUUUUUUGUUCGAGUGUUCAGGUUUUGGAUAAAAAUAUAGUUAAAUAAUGAAUUUUAAUAUAUCGUAAUAUAUAUAUAUAUAUAGAAAUAUUAAUUGUUAGUAAAUCUUAUUUAGUUUGUCCAAUGAAAAUAUUUUGAUGUGGAAAUUCAUGUACUUUUCGUAGUAUUAUAAAAUUUGGUUUGGUUUUAUGUUAGUAAAUUUGUGUGAUCAAACCUAAUAAACCUUUACUAAUAAAAACUCAUAUUCGGUUUCGAUAUAAGAAUUUACAUAUAAUUCGUAAUAAAAUCAGUUUGGUUUCACGUUAAUGAAUUUUUGUAACACACCGAAUAAAACUUCACUAGUUAACUUUUUUACAUCAUGACUUACAUAUUUUCAAUUUAGAAAAAUAUUGUAAACUAGAAUUUUAGAAAAAAUAUCCUAAAUCAAAUUGUUUCUAUUUAUUUAUGUUUUAGUAUAACUAUUUUUUUGAAUUUAAAUUAAGUUUAUUAAUACUAGGGUUUAUUUUACCAUUUAUGAAAAUGUGUGAGUUUAAAAACCCACAAAAAAAAAUUGAGAAUUUUUUCUAUGUUUUUAAGAAAGGUGAUAGUUUUUUUACCCAUUUUUCCCAUCAUUUCUAUUGCCAAUUUGCGAGCCACUUUUUUAUUACUUUUUAAUUUUUACAUUUUUAUCUUUGGUGAAUUCUCACUUUUACAUAAUAGUCUCCAACGGAAAGACGACGGAGGACGGUGCCCUUAAACCUGUGUAUCAGGCUCAGUUCCGACCGCCACAACGCCGAUCACUCUCAAAUUCUCUCUGGUACUUUAACACUCGACCAACGAUGAAUUCGGCAGAACAAAUCAAUCCGACCAAACCGGAGAGGUAAUUUUUACCUUAAUUUGAGAAAUUCCGCACAAAAGGUGAGUUUUGAGUAAUUAAUUAGUGGAUGCAGGAGCACAAAGUUAGUGUCUUUCCCCUCCGAUUUGAUGAUUCUGGCCAAUAAAGCGGCGGAGGAGGAUGAGUCGUUACAAAGUAAGAAAGCAACAUUUUUUAUUAUGACUCAGAAGAAAACUUUGUUCCUAGUUAUUGAAAUGGCUAUGUAGAGUUACAUAAUUGCAAUAUAUUUUUAAAGCUUGAUCCAUGAUCUGAUAGAGAUUCAAUUUUGCAGAUGAACAAGCUGGGACUCAGGGAAAGCGAGAGCUUAUGAUGCAACGAAAAGCUAAAUCAACAACAGCAGCAAAAUUUCUUAAAGAAGCUAAAUUGAACAAAGGUCUUGAAUUGUACCAAAUUUAUAAGAGGAAGAAAAGAGUCAACGAGUCUGGUCUUGGAGGUUGCACUAGGUUUCUUAGGAACAACAACUUGUCUCCUACUCUUCAACAUUUGUCUUUUGGAGAUUUAGUGGUUCUGGCGAAUGCAGCAUCGAUUGAUGGUGCCCGAGAAGUGUCUAAGGACGUGGUGGUGGAAGCGGCAGAAGAGUAUUUCCCGGAGAGAGUUGAGGAAGGUACCUGUAAGAGGAGAGCCAGAUUGUUGUUGCAUUGUGGUUUAUUAUAGAUAUAUGCGAUUGGUAUGUCAAACUUUGGUCUAAAGUAAAGACAUUUGAGAUGAUGAAAUUGCAGGUAAGCAGAGAGAAUCUGGCGACAUGGACUGUGGAGGAAGUUGCUUUGUGUUAUCUGAGGAGCUGCUGAAAAACCGAGAGUUGAUGCUACAAAAGGGUGAAGCAGCACCAGUGAAGGUUGUUGAAGAAGUUAAACCAAAGAGCGAUCCUUCUGAUGGUUUUCGUGAUGACAAAUUGUUUAAGAAGAAGUAUGUCCGGAGGACAAGAGUGAAGAACAAGGAGCAGCUGGAAUCGACAUCAGUUGGAGCGGUUGCUGGAACUUGUAAUCUUGUCAAGAAGUUGUGCGCACUCAAACCGUCAAGCCUCUUAACUAAUGUGGAUGCAGCAGAGAGAGAAGAAGGGCUGUUGUACAACAAUGGUGAAACUCAAUCAAAAUCUGAACAAGGUCCUUGCAGCGGAGUUAACAACAAGACGAAGAGCGGAGAUGAGACAGAAGGAAACGCAGCUGCAGUUUCCGGGGAAAAGCAGUCUGUUUGUCUUUAUUCAGCAUGGGAACGAGAAUAUCCCAAGAGAAAACGCAGUCUACUGAUAAGAAAACCCAAGGAACCGAAGAAGACAUUGGGUAAGAGCAGAGAAGGAAAGGAACAAGUUUGUGACCAAAUCGACAUUUCUGAACAAGAAGCUGAGACAGAGGAGGAAGGGGAUGUUUCUGAUGCAUCUAACUCUUCUAGUCGCAACUUGUGUAGUAGUUUCAUCUUCAAUGUUCAAUGGAGCAACAAGAGGAAGAGAAAUUGCAUGAAACUAGAGGAAGCACAGAGCAACCGCGCAAUCCUUCUUAUUGCUGUUGAAGCAAUCACCAAUCAUUUGGGUCUCUUAGACAUUAGCAUUUAGGAGAAGAGCUCUUAGCAUAGUCUUCUUAUUUUGUAUCUACUCUUAGCACUGUAGACUACUUUUGUAUCUAGUCUUAGUACCGUAGAGACUAGUUAAGAGAUAAUAUAAUAUAAUCUUUUGAUGUAAAUCAAAUCUGAUUUAUAUGACUGAAAAUUAACCAUAAUGUUAUAGAACUUGUUGUUCUUAUUGAUUAAUGAAUAGGGUUUCGAUACAUAUUUAUACAUGAUGAGGGGAGACAAAUCCCCAUUGGGCUAGUAAACCCUAAAGCCCAAAAGCCCACUAAGAUAAGAUAGACCGUCAUAAGGAGAAUCAUCUAGAAUAUGGACAUGGGCCUUCUAGAAUAUGGAUUAGGCCCAACGGUUAUGGAGUCCAUCCGACCAUGCGGUCUACAACACUCCCCCUUGGAUGACAUAACCGUGUAGAUGCCAAAAGGAUCUCAGUAAUACGCUCGGGGAUGCUGCCUCAUUAAAACCUUACCAGGAAAACCCAUUGGGAUAAAACCAUGGUUAAGGAAAAAGAGUACAGCACGUAUUACUCCCCCUGUUUUGGUCAUCCCUGCAAGUCCUUAAGUCUCCGCAUUCCAAUUUGAUGCGUGAGCUUCCUUAAUGUCGAUGUUGGUAGCGCCUUGGUGAAGAGAUCGGCUGAGUUGUCGCUGGAUCGAACUUGUACCACUCGAACUUCUCCAUCCCUUUGCAAGUCAUGCGUGAAGAAGAACUUUGUUAGAAUGUGCUUCGUCCGAUCUCCCUUGAUGUAGCCGUCUUUGAGCUGAGCGAUGCAGGCCGCAUUGUCCUCGUACAUGAUCGUUGGUUCCUUCUCUCCGUCCAUGCCACAACUGGAUCGUAUGUGUUGAGUCAUCGACCGCAACCACACACACUCACGGCUGGCCUCGUGUAUCGCUAAGAUCUCCGCGUGAUUGGAUGAAGUGGCUGAGAUGGUUUGCUUCAUUGAACGCCAUGAAAUCGCGGUUCCUCCGUGUGUGAAUACAUAACCUGUUUGUGACUUACCAUUAUGCGGAUCUGAUUGAUAACCUGCAUCAGCAAAACCAACUAAACCUUCUUUGUUAUGGUUAGCAUAAAAUAGACCCAAAUCAACAGUUCCUUGUAAAUAACGUAAAAGAUGCUUAAUCCCGUUCCAGUGCCUUUGGGUCGGACAUGAGCUAAAUCUCGAUAGGAGGUUCACGGCAAAACAAAUGUCUGGUCUAGUGUGGCUAGCCAAGUACAUUAACGCUCCUAUGACACUGAGGUAUGGCACUUCAGGACCGAGAACUUCUUCCUCAUCCUUCUUUGGACCGAAUGGAUCACUAUCCAAUCCGAGGCUUCUCACCACCAUUGGGCUGCUCAAUGGGUGGGCCUGGUCCAUAUUGAAUCUCUUGAGUACUUUUUCAGUAUAUGCCUUUUGAUGCACAAGGAUUCCAUUAUUCACGUACUCAAGUUGCAAUCCCAAACAGAAUUUUGUCUUGCCUAGGUCUUUCAUCUCAAAUUCUUUCUUUAGAUAUUCGACUGUUUGGGCGAUUUCCCCAGAGGUUCCAAGGAUGUUUAAAUCAUCCACAUAUACUGCUAUUAUCACAAACCCUUUGUUUGCGAAUUUCUUUAUGAAGAUACAUGGACUGAUGGGAUCAUUUUUAUAACCUUCUCUGACUAGGUAAUCGCUUAGUCUAUUGUACCACAUGCGCCCACUUUGUUUCAGUCCAUAAAGCGAUUUGUUCAGCCUUAUGCAGUAUUGGUCUCGAGACCCUUUCUUAUCUUUAUCUUUGAGCUCAAUGCCCUCUGGUAAUCUCAUAUAUAUUUCGUUAUCCAGUGGACCAUAUAGAUAAGCGGUCACAACAUCCAUUAACCGCAAAUCAAGAUUUUCUUUUAUUGCCAGACUUAUUAAGAAUCUAAAGGUCGUUGCAUCCACCACAGGGGAGUAUGUUUCUUCAUAAUCUAUCCCCGGUCUUUGCGAGAAUCCUUGUGCUACAAGCCGUGCCUUAUGUCUCACGAUUUCAUUAUUAUCAUUUCUCUUCCUUACAAAGACCCAUUUGUGUCCUACUGGUUUUAUCUCAGAUGGUGUCCUUAAUAUCGGACCAAACACAUCUCUUCUCUUUAAUGAACUUAAUUCCACGUUUAUGGCUUCUUUCCAUUUUAGCCAAUCUGAUCUUUGAGUGCACUCUAAUAUAGACGUGGGUUCAUGAUCCUCAUUUAUUUCAAUUGCUACCUUAUAUGCAAAUAUUUCAUCGAUGUCGACAUCUUUGCGGUUCCAUUUUAUUCCAGACAUGAUAUAAUUUAUUGAUUUCUCAUUAUCAUCUAUCCCUUCAGGACCAUGAGGAUUGGCGUCCCAAAUCUCUCUAUUCGGUUCCUUAGGGUCUGCCGCGGCCAUGUCUAUGGUUUCCUUCACCUCGUUUCCUACUGCACCUUUCUUUGAUUUUCGAGGAUUUUUAUCUUUGGAACCUAUUGGUCUACCACGUUUCUUACGUGCGUUAGACUCUGUAGCAAUUUCAUUGAUUCCCUUUUGGAUAUCAAUACGUACUGGUGCAUUACAAGCUGGUAUGUACGAUUUUGUAACUUUCUUUGGGUCAACAAAGGAAUCUGGCAAUUCAUUAGCUAGCUUUUGCAAAUAUAUUAUUUUCUGGACCUCUGAUUCACAUGCCAGAGUCCGAGGAUCUUGCCAAUUCAAGGAUGUUUGAUUCCAUGAUAUUUCUUUAACCAGCUUGUUCGUCUCUCCACCUAAAGUAGGAAAUUCGGAUUCAUUAAAUUGAUAAUCCGCGUAUCUAGCCUUAAAUAGGUCACCCGUAGUUGGCUCUAGAUACUUAAUAAUGGUGGGAGAAUCAAAUCCAACAUAUAUUCCCAUCCUCCUUUGAGGUCCCAUCUUUGUUCUAUGUGGUGGAGCAAUCGGUACAUAUACGGCACACCCGAAAGUCUUUAGAUGGGAUAUGUCUGGCUCAUGACCCAUGAGUAAUUGGGAUGGUGAAUAUCUAUGUUCACUAGAUGGCCUUAUGCGUAUAAGUUCUGAUGCAUGUAAAACAGCGUGUCCCCAAGCGGCUACUGGAAGCUUCGACCUCAUGAGUAAUGGUCGAGCUAUCAAUUGAAUUCGUUUAAUGAAGGAUUCCGCUAAUCCAUUCUGUGUAUGUACAUGUGCUACGGAAUGUUCCACACUUACCCCCAUGGACAUACAGUAGUCAUUAAACGCUUGGGACGUGAAUUCACCGGCAUUGUCUAGACGUAUAGUCUUAAGCGGAAAAUCUGGAAAGUGGGCUCGCAGUCUUAUUAUCUGGGCCAAUAACCUAGCAAACGCUUGGUUUCUAGUAGAUAGGAGACAAACAUGCGACCAUCUUGUCGAUGCGUCAAUGAGGACCAUAAAAUAUCUAAACGUCCCACAUGGUGGGUGUAUUGGUCCACAUAUAUCCCCUUGUAUCCUUUCCAGAAAAUUUAAGGUCUCUUUAUUUACCUUAGCCGGUGAUGGCCUUAUAGUGAGUUUCCCUUGUGAACAUGCUUCACACGUGAGAUUCUUAGGGAUAACUCGUUUCUCUUUUAGGGUGUGCCCCUUUGAAUUAGUUAUUAGUUUACGCAUCAUACAAUGACCCGGAUGGCCAAGCCGGUCAUGCCAUAAAGUGAAUUUCUCGAUGAACUCUUUGUUCAUUGCCAUAUUAGCUUCGAUCAUAUUGAUUUUAGCAUAGUAGAGACCAGUGGAUAAUGCGGGUAUAGUCUCUAGGACUUUCUUAUGUCCUUGGGUGAUCUCAAUUAUAUUUAGGAAUUCUUUGUUCCCUUCACCCUUUGUUUCAAUAUGGAAACCAUUUAAUCUUAUAUCUUUGAAACUUAACAAGCUCCUCUUUGAGCUGGGUGAAUAUAGGGCAUCGCUUAUUUCAAGAUGCGUGCCCUUUGAUAAAAGGAUAUGGGCUUGACCGUGGCCCUCAAUGAGACUAGCUAUACCCGCUAUGGUGCUAAUAUUGGCAUUUUUCAAUGUUAGAUUUAUAAAGUAUCUUUUGUCUUUUAAAAUUGUGUGGCUCGAUCCACUAUCCACCACAAGUAUAUUCUUGUCAUCGGCCAUUUCUAAUAUUGACAAGAAAAUAUGUCUCAGAUAAUAAAGCAAACGAUUAUAUUAAAAGCAAAUUAAACUUAAAUUUAAAUCCAAGACAUAAUAGUAUUCAAAACAUAGAAUAGAAUUCAAAGACAUAGAGCAUGAAAACAUAAAGCAAAACAAAGCAAAUUAAAACACAAGAUGUCGAAUUUAAUUUUCCUCUCUUAAGCAAUCCGAAGUCUCAUACUCCAAUUGGUCAUCGUUCUCAUGGUCGAAAUCUCCAUCACCAUCGAGAUGAGCCAAAUUGGCUUCGGGAUUCUUCUUUAUCAUUUCUUGAUAAGCAUCGAUUAGAUGUUUAGAUGUCCUGCACGUCUUAGCCCAAUGAUUGUCCAUUCCGCAUCUAUGGCAAACGGAUUUGACCUUGUGUUGCGGUUUGAAAAUUCCGCGGCCACGACCUCGACCAUUGUUCCCACGGCCUCUACCACCAUGGUGGUUUCCUCGGCCGUAGGAGUUAUGGUUGCUGCGACCACCACCACGUCCUCUACCACGGCCACGACCGUGAUACCCUCUAUGGACGUAGUUGGUUUCUUUGGUCUCUCGAGGUUCUUUGGCUAUUUCGGCCUUAUGGGCUUCCGGCAACGGUGUGGAUCCUGGAGGUCUCAUCGAGCUAUUCAUUAGUAAUAGCUCAUUAUUCUUUUCAGCAAGGAGUAAGCAGGAGAUCAAACUUGCAUAUGUUUUGAAUUUCAUUCCACGGUAUUGUUGCUGAAGUACCACGUUAUUAGGGUGGAAUGUUGAGUAUGUUUUCUCAAGCAAGUUAUUAUCAGUCACCGUUUCACCACAUAGCCUCAGGAUUGAGACAAUCUUAAAAAGCUCGGAGUUAUACUCCUCCACGGAUUUGAAAUCCUGGAUCCUGAGGUUUUUCCAAUCAUAUUGGGCUCUCGGUAAGAGUACCGUCUUUUGGUGAUCGUAUCGAUUUUUCAACUCGAUCCAAAGAUCGAGAGGAUCCUCGAUAGUAAGGUACUGAUUCUUAAGGCUCUCUGCUAGGUGAUGGCGUAUAAACGCAAUCGCCUUAAACUUCGACCUCUUCUCACACUCAUUGUUUUCCAUAAUGCACUCGGCGAGAUCUUUGGAUUCAAGGGCUAUCUUAAUGUCCAAUGCCCAUUGUAAGUAGUUGUCGCCGGAAACGUUGAGUGCAGAAAACUCGAGGUUCUUUGUUUUCGACAUCUACAAGCAAAAGAAGAUUGAGUCAAAAUCAUGUAAUCGUUAAUGUCAUGUGGUAUUAAAAACCAAACAUGAAUCGAUUUACUUAAGGAUUUGACUUUCCUCAUAGGGUUAAAUUUCCUUUUCUAAAUAUUUCCUAAUUUGAUUAGGAUUUUAGGGUUUUAAGAUUUCCUAUUUUUAUUUAAUAUUUUUAGGGUUUAGGAUUUCCUAUUUUAUUUAAGAUUUUAGGAUUUCUUAUUAUUCCUAGGAUUUAGGGUUUUAAAGAUUUCCUAUUAUCCCUAAGAUUUAGGAUUUUAAAGAUUUCCUAUUAUCUAGGGUUUCCUAUUUAGGGUUUUAAGGGUUUCCUAGAUUUUAGGGUUUUAAAGAUUUCUUUUAGGAUUAUCUUUUCUAGGUUUUCUAGGGUUCAUGCAAUUUUAGUUUUAGGGUGAUAAGCAUGUAAUCAAUCAAAGGAGCAAACAAUCUAACAACCUAAACAAUCUCAAUCAAGCCGUUUAAACAUAUGGAAUUUUCGGAUUAGGUUCGUUUUAGUUUUAGGUUUUUUUAGAUCUUUAAAGUUUCGGAUUAGCUUAUGAAUUUUCGUUUUGCGAUUUAAGGUUUAUACAAUAAAACUUCUCUAGCAACUUAGGCGAGUUUAGUUUAAGCAAUAAUCAACCUUUCUCUAGCAACCUAAACGAUUCAAACAAACGGAUCUUACAAGCAAUAGGAUUACUUUAAACAUUCAAGGUUCGUUUUAGGUUUCCACCGUUCGUUAGAUUCAAGUUCAUGAUCAGUUUUCAAUAGCAAUCACUUGAACAAUCAAGACUCGUUUUAGUGUCUUAGCCGUUUGUUAAUUUCAAGUUCAUGAUCGGUUUUCACAAUAAAAAAACAAUCACUUAAGCAAUCAAGAUUCGUUUUAGAUUCCCACCGUUUGUUAGGUUCAAAUUCAAGAUCGGUUCUUUACAAGCAAAAGGAAUCGUUUAUACAAUACAGAUUCGUUUUAGGUUUCCACCGUUUGUUAGAUUCAAAUUCAAGAUCGGUUCUUUAGCUUUUAGGGUUUUGGUUUUUACCUUUCACCUUUUGGGGGUUGUAUGGAUUAGAACCGGGAGCUAAAGACCUCGGUUAUCAAGCUUAUCACGAACGUGGGGUGCUAGGAGGAGAUCGCCGAUCAAGGAGCAAAGCGAGUAGUCGGCGGUUUGGUAGCUUCAAGCGGUGGACGAGCUCGGCGAAUUUAGGUUUAGGGUUUUUAGGGUUUUGUUAAGAGCAACUCGUGCUGAUAACGUGUUAUAGAACUUGUUGUUCUUAUUGAUUAAUGAAUAGGGUUUCGAUACAUAUUUAUACAUGAUGAGGGGAGACAAAUCCCCAUUGGGCUAGUAAACCCUAAAGCCCAAAAGCCCACUAAGAUAAGAUAGACCGUCAUAAGGAGAAUCAUCUAGAAUAUGGACAUGGGCCUUCUAGAAUAUGGAUUAGGCCCAACGGUUAUGGAGUCCAUCCGACCAUGCGGUCUACAACACAUAAUAGCAAUAUUUUUGGAAGCCAUAAUAGUUAUUUUUUAUUUUUUUUUAUUUUUUUUUAUUUUUUGACAUCUUUGGAUCGACAAGGCCCGAUCCAUAGCCAAUCCAUACUACUCGGGGUAACGCGACUUAGUGGAGUCGACCUCCGGUGGGGAAGGCGGAGUCAAGUGGACUUAACCACUUGACUAAAGGCACAUCCCCGCCAUAAUAGUUAUUUAUUUAAAGGCUAUUUUAAUCUAUACACUAAUAUCUUCAUAUUAAUAUUUGGUGACUUAACUACGGUAUAGUAUUAUUUAUAGUCAUAUAAAAAUAAUUAAGAACAUGAUAUACCAACAAGCCGACUCAGCGGGAUUCGCUCGGACGUUGUUUUUCUAACAAGCGAGUUGAUCUCUGAGCCAACCAUCUCUGUUGACUCUCCUGACUCGGGGAUCGUCGUAAGCGAGCCCGUCUUAUCGAAAACAACGUAGUAUUUGUCCAUGUCUACUUCGUCGUGACCUGCCUUAAACGAAGCAUUUGAUUGUUUCUGUCUCAACAUUGACUUAAUGAGUUUCCCCAGAGAACGUGAGAUCUUCUUGGUAGGGGAUUGUUGUUUCUUGGUUAAAGAAGACGUUGUUUCUGACGGUGGAGGAGGAGUAGGAGAGAGGUGUGGCAUGGACAUGGAUCUAGCUGAGGAGGAGAUGGCUGAGUCGAGUUGGCGAUUGAAAGAGUUGAGCUCGAACGAGUCAUAGAGUGUACUUUCGCAAUCCCACACCUUCUUCUUCUUCAUCUUAUCAAGAUUGGUACUCUCUUCUGUGUUUUGUUUCGGAUUCAUGAUCACCAUCUUGUUCUUUGGGUGAUUUUCCAUCUUUUUAGUGUUUUCUGAUCUUUGUAUCGAGUUUUUGUCUGUAGAAAUAAAAAUAUAAACUCAAUAUGAGAUAAAUAGUGAUGCAUUAAUUCAUCAAGACGGUUCAUAAAAAAAAAGAUAUAAAUAGAAAAUUCCGUGGGUGCACAAAAAAAAAAAAAAAAAAAGAAAAUUCCGUUUUCCAUAUUUUAAAAAAAGUUCAUGGAUGGAUGAAUGAAAAUAAAAGUAUAACAAACCCAAUAAUAUGAUGAUAUAGCAAACAUAAUAAUUUGGAACUACUAGUUAUGACCUUAUAAGGAUAUCAAUGAUCAAAACCUGAUAACUCACAAUUUCCAAUCUUGAUUUUCAUAAUAUAUGAUGAUGAUGUCAAGCUCUUAGAAGAUUGAUCAUCUCUUGUCGUCUUAGCUUUUCUUAAACCCUCAGUGAUUUUGAUAUGCCCUUUAAUCAUCAUAUCAUCCUUAUUUGUCUUCUCCUCACCAUCCGCUUUUGUUGCCAUCUUCGGUGACUCCAAGGCUCUUUGUUUGACCUCCAUUUUAUUUUUCUUUCUUUCUAUAUGAACCUUUUUUUCUUUGGUAGUGAUUAGUGAAGGACCUGAAAGUUAUAUAGAGAUUGGAGUGUUCGGUGAAGAAUAAAACGCGUAGCCAAUACCUUUUUCAUGUGUGAAACUUCAUCGUAAUGAAUUUCACGGUCUCUUCAUAUAUCAAACUAGAUAAGGACCCGUCGGACGGGUUAUUUGUCGGACGGGUUAUUUGUUUAAAAAGUAAAAUCAAAUUUAAAAAAAAAAUUAAUUAACAACGUUGUAAGUAGAAAUUUUUUUUCAAAAGUAAAAACAAUAUUUACUUUUUCACUGUUGCCUUGUUUCUUUAACCACUAAAAUUAUUAAUUCAAAAUUAUUUCGAAUGAAAGAUAUAUUACAUAACAAUAAUUCAUGAUAUACUUAUAUGAAGAACAAAAAUUAAAAAUAUUCAUCAUAAAGUUGGUGAAUAAAACCAAAGUGGUGUUUAAUUAGACACGUCAAAAAUAUAAAGAUGAUAAAUCGACUAAAUUCUUUUGCCUUCGAAGCUAACGUUGCGGGUUCGAUUCCUAUAUACUCGAUUGCAAUAACUUUAUGAUCAAUCAAUAAAAAUUAAUAAAUUCAAAAAGUUAUAAGCACGAUGAUAUAUGAAUCUUUUAUAAUUCAAAUAUGUACAUAGAAAUUGAAAUAAACUAUUUUGAAAUAGUAUAAUUAAAUUCAAAAUAUCAAAAACAAAAAAGAAGCAUAUAUGUUUCUUACAUAUUCAAGAAUUUCAAAUAAAACAAUAUAAUACUUUACUUAAAAUCAUCACAUAUUUCUAAUUAGAAAUUAAUAUUGAUAUAAAUAAUGUAAAUUUGUAAUUUAAAUCAUGACACAUGUCGCUAUCUAAAAUCAUUAGAAAUAUGAGAUAUUAUAAAUCUUAUAUAAUUUAAACUGAACGUAGAAACCAAAAUAAAUAAUUUAAAGAUACAACAGUUAAACUAAAAUAAAAAAAUUAUAAACACGAUGAUAUAUGAAUCUUUGAUAAUUUAAAUAUGAAAAGAAAAAUUGAAAUAAACAAUCUAACUAUACUACAAUCAUAAUUGAAGACAAACAAAAAAAAAACAGUUAAGUAAAAAAAUAUUACAAAAAGGAAAAAAAAAUUGAUCUCACAUAUUUCUAUUUGAAAAAAUAAACUCAAAUAAAUAAUAUGAGGAUUAUUUUAAUUAAAUCAUCACAUAUUUCUAAUUGGAAAAGAAAUUGAGAUAAAUAAUAUCAAAUUUUAAAUUAAUAUAUAAUAACAUAUGUUUCCUUUUUAAUAAAUUUGCCUGAUUUUUUUCUUGUUUAAUUGAAAUAUAAAAAACGUAUAAUUUCCUUAUUAUUAUCUUUUGACAGUUUUUUAAAAUUUUUUAUAGAAAUAUGAAUUAUUUACAAUUAUUAUUAUUCUUAUAAUUAUCUUUUACAUUUUUAAAAUUACUUAAAUUUAUAAUUACUUUCAAUUAUCUUUUUUUUUUUUAUUUUAAGAAGGAAAUUUUUGUUAUACACGUGUCAAAAUCUAAGAUCGAUAGAUUUGCCACGUGUCACGAUCAUAUGAGUUAUUAACUUUGAAAACCAUACUUUAUAUAAUAAGAUGUUGCAAUUAAUAUAUAUACACAGCCUAUAGAAAAAAAAAAAAAAAGAAACUAGAUCUAAAUUUCUUUAAUGGCUAUGUCCAAAACCAACGACAAUUUUAUGACAAUUUUCUAAUCAUUGUUUCUAUUUUUGGUUUUUGCGUAAUGUAUUGAUAACACUAUAUUCCGAAAUCCGAACUGGAAGAUUUUAAACACCUAACUAUUUCUACGUACGUGACACUGAUGCGAGCUUCGUGGCCAUUUAACGUGGACAAUUUGGAGACCGGAGACAAUGCAACUAUAUGUACUAAUAAUACUCUCUCUGUUUCACAAAGAGUGUCAUUUUAGAGUUUUGCACACAAAUUAAGAAAACAUUAAAUUUUUUGUUUUUUCUAAACAAAAACAUCAUUAACUAUAUACCUAAACAUAAUCUGCCCAAUAGUAAAACAAUCUGCAGAAUACUAAUAGUCAUAAAACAUAAAAAAUCAUUAAAUUUUGCAUUGAAAACCUAAAACGACACUCUUUGUGAAACAAAAAUAAAACCUAAAAACGACACUCUUUAUGAAACGGAGGGAGUAUAUUCUAAAUACUAUAAAUUUUAUACAGUAUAAUUUUAUUAAAUGUAUAUUUAUACCCAGUGGCGGAGGCAGCCAAUGUCUUGGCAGGGGUCAAUUUUUAUUCUAAAACUAAAAAGGGCGAUUGACAAAAAUAGUCCCAAAAAAGUUUUUUUUUUCCAAAAUUAGCACAAGAUUUCUAAAAUUCUACAAAUAGCACCCUAAACUUUAUUUAGAAUAGAAAAUAAGAGCAAACACUAACCUAAUAUUAAACUAAAUCAAAAUUUCUUUUAAAUGGUGGAAAUAUAUACCCUAAAUUAGAAUGAGGGAACCCAAAUAUAAUCCCACAAACCAAUGUUAAAAUGAAUCAAAAUCUCUUUUUAAAUGGUGGAAAUAUAUACCCUAAAUUGGAAUUAAUGAACCCAAGCAUAAUAACACAAAUUCAAUAUUAAAAUGAAUCAAUAUCUCUCUUUUAAAUGGUGGAAAUAUAUACCCUAAAUUGGAAAUAAAGAACCCAAAUAUAAUAUUUUAAAUUUAUUUCUAAUUUAUUUUGGUUGAAUAUUUUUUAUAUAAAAUUUGUUAUAUUAUUGGAAAGAAUAAACUAAUGAUAAUAAUUUUAGAACAAAAACUUAAUAGUUAAUCAACUAAUGCUAUUUUUGAAAGUUUAUGGAGUGUGUGCUAUAAUUGUCCAUAAAACUUGUUUUAGUGCUAUUUUGGAGAAUUUCUCUUUAAAGAAAGUAUAUUGCUGAUUUUAGAAUGAAAUUUAGUUUGAAAUGAAUGGAAAAACUAUCAAAAUUUCACUAUCGAGUAUCGAUUACUCUAUUUUUUUUCUUAACACAAAAGUCUCGUGAUGGCUUUGGCGAUUACUAAUCCCACUCAUAAGACCAUAUAUCCUUAUGAUCUUACUUCAAGCGACAACCCUGGUGCAAUAAUCUCUCAACCUCUUCUCAAUGGCUUAAACUACGAUGAGUGGUCUCUCAACUUGCGGAUGACGCUUUCUUCUUGGAAAAAGUUUGGUUUCCUUGAUGGAAGCAUAUCUAAACCCGCAGCUAAUGCCCCUGAACUUGAAGAUUGGACUGCAAACAAUCACUUGUUGGUUGGGUGGAUCAAACAAACAAUUGAGCCCAAGAUCCGGUCGACCAUCUCUACCCGUGAAGUAGCAAAGGAUUUAUGGGACAUCAUAAAGAAGCGGUUCUCUAUCAAGAGCGGGGCUCGUUUGCAGCAACUUCAAAACUCUUUGGCAAACUGCAAACAAAAUGGUUCAACAGUGGAUGAUUAUUUUGGUCGUCUUACUAAACUUUGGGACUGUAUAUCGGAUUGUAUGAAUUCCAAGAGAUGCAGCUGCGGCAAGUGCGAAUGUGACCUUAAUACGGCUCGUGACAAAGAGCUAGAGACACUUCGCAUUCAUGAUUUUCUCUCUGGUCUCGAUGAGUCAACUCACGGAGUGAUUCGGUCUCAGAUUUGUGCAAUCUCUCCUCUACCUGAUCUCGAUACGGUGUAUCAAACAAUCUCACAGAAUGAAACUAUUCGAUCUGCUGCCACAACUGAAGUCUCGGUGAUGGGAUUUGCCUCUCAAGUUUCUGGUCUAAGUUCCUCCUCCAAAUCAACCCCGGUGUUUACCCGAGAUGUGACUAAACGCAACUCUAACUUCAACGGCUUCUCUCGGCUUGGACCAGGUAACAAAGACCCAUCACGACAAUGUUCCGCGUGUGGAAGAACGGGACAUGAGGCUUCCUCAUGCUUUAAAGUUGUGGGCUAUUUGGAUUGGUGGGGUGAUAGACCACGUCCCAUGAUCUCGUCUCGGAGCUCACAAGGUGUCUCUAAUGGUCGUGGAGGUCGUGGUGCUUCUCCCCGAGCUAAUAUUACGCAGAUCGUGAAUGCUAAGACGUCUGCACUUGGAUCUUCGGAGAUCACUGAAAGUGAUCGACAAGGCUUGCUGGGACUCUCGGAUGAUCAAUGGAAGCUGGUUGAAAAAGUGAUGAAUGCGGGCAAGACAACAACACAAUUGAAUGGUAAGAAUAAUGAUGAUGAUUGGAUCUUAGAUACCGGAGCAACUCAUCAUAUGACAUGCCGUUUGAUCUCUUGACGGAUGUUCGUGACAUUGCUUCGGUGACGGUCUCGCUAGCAGCCGGCGAAUCUGUUGCUACCAAACAGGGGACCGUUAAAUUAACUUCCCAUUUAUCACUCCAUAAUGUUUACUUGGUUCCCCGGUUUCACAUUAAUUUGAUAUCUUUUGGCCAGCUUGUCACAGAAAAUUUUCUUGUGGGACAAGUCACUGAUAAAAUUCUACUUCUACAGGACCGCACUUCGAGGAUGCUGAUUGGGUUGGGUGAACGAGAGGGAGAGGGGCUGUACCGCUUUCGUCAACUUGGAACGGUGACAGCUUUGCAAACACGAGUUCAAGAUGAUUUGGUUCUGUGGCAUCACCGUAUGGGUCAUCCGUCUUCUCGUGUUACUGGAAUGCUUCCUAUUUUCUGUGGUGUCUCUAAUACUAAUACUGAUGUUUUAUUUAAAAGUUGUGACGUUUGUUUACGGUCCAAACAAACUCGACAUUCCUUUCCUGAUAGUUCUAAUAAUGCGAAAGAAGCUUUUGAUUUAAUUCAUAUUGAUUUAUGGGGUCCUUAUCGCAAUACGGCGUUUUGUGGUUCGCGUUACUUCUAGACCAUUGUGGAUGACCAUUCCCGAGCCGUUUGGCUUUAUCUCCUACGCGACAAGACUCAGGUCUCAAGCCAUAUUCGUGCUUUUCUCGCUUUAAUAGAGAGACAAUUCUCCAAGAAGGUGAAAUCUAUUCUCAGUGACAAUGGAAGUGAGUUUAUGUGCCUUACCAAAUUCUUCCACGAACAAGGUAUUGUUCAUGAGACUUCAUGUGUCCAUACUCCGCAGCAGAAUGGUCGAGUUGAGCGAAAACACCGUCACAUAUUGAAUGUUGCUCGAGCUUUGCGGUUUCAUGCCCGCCUUCCGAUUGAAUAUUGGGGCGAAUGCAUACUUACGGCGGGAUAUCUCAUUAAUCAGACACCAUCAUCUUUGCUUCAGGGCGUUACUCCGUUUGAAAAAUUAUAUGGCCACCCUCCAUCAUACACACAUCUCAGAGUAUUUGGAUGUCAAGCUUAUGCUCACAAUAUUGAUCACAAAGGUGAUAAGUUUAAUUCACGCAGUCGGCGGUGUAUCUUUCUCGGGUAUCCCUAUGGUAAAAAGGGUUGGAAGCUUUUUGAUCUAGAUCGUGAAGUAUUUUUUGUGUCUCGUGAUGUCACCUUCCACGAAACCGUAUUCCCAUUGAAUGAUCCUUCUCCUCCGGCGGCUGAGAUCGUGGUUACUCCUCCGACAUUGGGCACCAUUUUACAUGAUGAUACUGGUGACAUUCUUCCGCUACUUGAGAAUGUUGCCCAUGUCAUCGGUUCUGUUCCUUCUCCAGUUUCAUCAUCGGUUCCUUCACCUACACCGGAGGAAACUACGAAAACACCCGUGCCAGACACUGUUGUGGUUCCUGACAAACCAGUUGUGUCAGAUUCUACGACUACCGCCGAGUCACCAGCUCUUGUUCAAGGAAAAUGAGCAAAAAUACCAAAUGUCCGUCUACAUGACUAUGUGGUUGGUACAGUUACCGCUACACCUCCCUCUCUCUCUACUACGUCACCCUCUUCUCAGUCAUCUUUAGGUUCGCAUUUCCCUCUAUCUGACUAUAUUUCUUGUGACAAGUUUUCUGCCAAUCAUCGCAGCUAUUUGGUGGCUCUAACCACUAAUGUUGAGCCGAAAUCAUUUCAAGAAGCUAUGCAAUUUGAAGUAUGGAAAAAUGCGAUGGGCUCUGAGAUGGAUGAUUUACAACGAAAUCAUACAUGGGAUCUUGUAGAGCUUCCGCCAAAUAAAAAGGCGCUUGGGAGUAAGUGGGUGUUUACAAUUAAGCUUCGUUCGGAUGGUACGAUAGAACGAUAUAAAGCUCGUCUUGUUGUUCUUGGUAACCAUCAACAAGAAGGUAUUGACUAUACGGAAACAUUUUCUCCCGUUGCAAAGAUGACUACGGUUCGUAUGUUUCUUGACUUUGCAGCGAAAAAGAAUCAUGAAGUUCACCAAAUGGAUGUUCAUAACGCCUUUCUUCAUGGUGAUCUCCAUGAGGAGGUCUACAUGAAAAUACCACAGGGAUUCUCUUCUGCUGGUGAAACCCGCGUGUGUCGUCUCCGUAAGUCAUUGUAUGGUUUGAAACAAGCUCCUCGUUGCUGGUUUGCGAAGCUUGUUGAUACUCUUCUUAAGUAUGGUUUUACACAGGCUAAAUCCGACUAUUCAUUGUUCGUUUAUUCCAAGAAGGGCAUUUCUCUCCGGAUCUUAGUCUAUGUUGAUGAUUUGAUCAUUUCGGGUAAUUCUCCUGCGGCAAUCAAGUCUUUCAAGGACUACUUAUCUCUUUGAUUCCAUAUGAAAGACUUGGGGUUUCUAAAAUAUUUUUUGGGAUUAGAAGUAGCUCGAGCUCCUGCGGAAAUAUGCUACGGAAAUUGUGACUGAAGCCGGCCUUCUCGGAUGUCGACCUGCGGGCUCUCCCAUUGACCAGAAUCAUCGGCUUGAUAUUAUUGCGGGUCUGGAGCUUGCUGACCCUCAAACGUAUCGCCGUCUCGUUGGUCGUUUAAUCUACCUAGUUGCUACCCUACCAGACCUUACUUAUGCUGUCCAUGUUUUAUCUCAGUUUAUGCGAAAUCCAAGAGAAGAACAUUGGCUUGCUGCUUUGAAAGUGGUCCGUUAUCUCAAAGGAACACUCGGCCAAGGUGUCCUUCUUCAAGCUGAUUCUCCUUUCUUAUUAACAGGCUGGUGUGAUUCCGACUUCUCAGGUUGCAAAUUGACCCGACGCUCGCUUACGGGAUGGUUUGUUCAGCUUGGCUCAUCUCCUAUCUCAUGGAAAACAAAGAAGCAAGACGUCGUUUCUCAGUCAUCAGCUGAGGCUGAAUAUCGAGCCAUGAAUGCGGUUACAAGAGAGUUGAAAUGGCUCAAAGAACUACUUCAAGAUCUUGGUUUUGAUCAUAAAGAACCAAUGAUUAUUCGAUGUGAUAGUAAGCCAGCUAUUCACAUUAGUUCCAAUCCAGUUUUUCACGAACGCACCAAACACAUUGAACAAGAUUGCCACUUUGUUCGUGAUGAGAUCGUCAAGGGUGUUGUCAAUCCUUAUCAUGUUCCUACGGAAGACCAACUGGUGGAUAUUCUCACUAAAGCCGUAGGACGAAAAGAAUUUGAUGCAUUUCUCCUUAAGUUGGGCAUUCAAAAUCUCCAUGCUCCAACUUGAAGGGGGGGGGUAUUGACAUGGGCGGAGGCGGUGUAUUAUUAUGGGGGUCAGUUGACCCCUAUGAAUUUUGAAAAUUCUAAUACAUUUUAUUAAGAGUAAUUAUAAUGACCCCAAUGCAUUAUAGUUUUUGACCCCAUAUCAAACUAAUUUAACUACAUGGAAUAAAAAUUGUCAUUAAAACAACAAAAGAGCCAAAUAAGUUUGGUUCAUUAGAAUUUUAAACCAAAUUCUAAUGUAAUAAAAUUAAAAAUUCUUGACUUAUUUAAAAUAAAGUUCAACUAAUGAUCUAAUAUUAUAAUUAUUUAUAAAAAAAAACCCACAAUUUUUUUUUGCUUUUGUUAAUCUUUGUGGACCAUAACAAAAAAUUUUAAAUAUUAAUUUGAUUGAUUUUCAGAUUUUUUUUUUCCUUAAGUAUAGAUUAUUUCUAGACAAAACUAAUAGUAAAUUUUAUAUAAUAUAUUAUUUUCUAUUAAAAAAAUUUGACUCCUAUAACAAAAUUUUCUAGCUCCGCCACUGGGUAUUGAGGAUAUUUUCCUAAUCCCCUAGAUAUUACCAAAUCUCCAAUAUGUAUAUUUGCCUUUAUCUCUUUGUGUAUUAGGGCUACAUGUUUUCUAGGUUGUAUAAAUACAUGACCUUAAGGUACAAGGAAUACAAGCUGAUUUUAUCUCUCUAUACUCGUUUUAACACAUUCUUCUCAUACUCAUAGGUGUUUCGUUGUUUUACGGUUGCAAAAGAGCCACUACCACUCGCAAUAAAUAUAACAACAUUUUGUCAUUUCCAGACCUACUCAGCCUCGUGGUCCUCACUCGUCCCUUAGUUUAAGCGACGUGUCUAAAAGAAAACAAUCCUUGAUCGUCUUAAUCAUAUAAUUAAUAUCAUAGUUACGUAUAUCAUAUUUUGUGUAGAAUCGCGUUUGUUAUAUUGGAGUCAGACCAUGUAAAACAAAUGCAUAAUUCAAUUAAUAUAGCAGCUCGAAUUGAUACCAACUUAAUAAAAUAGUUAAUUAGACAAACUUUUUCUUGCAAUAUCAAUUGGAUUAAUAGUUUUUUUUUUUCUUUUUUUUUUUUUGCAAAAAAAUUGGAUUAAUACAUAUCUUUAUCUAAUAAAUCACAAGUAAAUUUUCAAGUAACUGCAACAUCCUCCAUAUGACACCUGGCUUAAAUUCCAAUUUUUUAUCUUUCAGAUUUUAAAACAAUUAAAUUUUAAUUAUCCUUAAAUAAAACAAAAAAUAAAUGUCGAGAAAACCUUUCUCCCACAACCGCAUCCCCUUUUUCUCCCACGAUUUCAAAAUCGAUCUCCACUUCUCAACAAUGGAACUACAAAAAGGUUUCAGAUCUCUCAAAAUCAAUAUUCCUUUCAUACUACUUCUCACCCUUAUUCCCCGAUUUCUGAGAUAAAAAAACCAAUGAUUUCUCAAUUUCUCAAUCAAUUGAACGGUGUUAUUCAUUAGAACGGUGUAUUUCUCAAUUUCUCCCUAUCUCUACUGAGCUUCCGUCGUUUGAUUUGAAUCAAAGGUAAGCUUUUCAACUAUUUUAGAUUAUGAACCAAAAACCAUCACUCUAAUCUUCUCCAACCUCAUCUCAAUCAAAGUAUACUCCGCUGGAGAAGUUUGGGCUAUCAUACAAAAAGCUUUCAGAUCUCUUCCUUUUCUGAUUCGUGUUUCCUCCAGCUCUAAUCGGGUAAAAUUUUUUAAUUUCUUACAUGUUCUGAUUUUAGGGUUCAUCAAUAGAAUCUCUCUUCUAACUGCAAGCACUACUUCUAUAUCAAAAUCUUUCAAUAUACAAAUUCUAUGUUCGAAUUUCUCAAUUUUGGUUUACUUUGUCAUCAUCGUUUUUAAUGCCCAUCCAAUUUUCUAUUUCAUGUGUUGUUGUGUUCUUAUCACUUGUACAAACUCUCAUGUAAAUUUUAAUGUAUUCACAGUCUUUACUAAUUUUAUAACAACUCUGUUACAAGUUUUACGUUUAGUUUUGAAACAGGGAAGAAUUAUUGAGCCGUCUCUCUUGAAAUUUCCAGCAUUGGACGAAUAUAAAACAAUAACCUCAAAUCUCUCUGGUUUGUUUUCUCUUCUCUGCAUGUCUUAGAUGAGUGGGUAUCUGAUUUUGUGUGCAUGAAACCUUUCUUUUACUUUUCACAAAACCUUUGUUUUCCUUACUUUUACUCAUCUUCCGUUCUCAGUUUCACUAUAACUUGAAGAUAUAUGGUUGUGUCAGGAUGGCAAAAACAUUGAAGGUGACGGUUUAGCGUCAGCCUUCGUGGUGCCUGUGUGAGGGAGUUCACCAAUAUGACGUUAACUUCCCAUGUGACGGAUCUUUACCCGCUAAGUUUGGUCCACCUAAACGCCGGUAUGAUAUCAUCAAAUCUUUGGCUAUGCUUUGGUGAAUUUAGAAGACGAGAGUUUGGAGAAUGAAGUUUGGAAUAUAAUUUCGUAUAGAAGCAACACAAAAAUGAAGUUUUGAAGUCUUGCAAUUCAAAAGAAAAGAAAAAAAAAACAAUCUGAAAGAUGGGUGCAUGAUGUGGAAUCAUCUUCCACGGUGAAGUGUGAAGAAUUUAAACGUGCAAUCAUCUAAUAUAUAUGUUCAAGAUCCUUUUGAGUAAGAUAUACAAUAUACAAAGGUAAAGGGCUUUUGUUUGUUCGAUCGCUCAUUUAUGUCUUACAAUACGUUUGCGUAUUUAUGUAAGACCCUUGGCAAUUUCAUAAUGCAAUGAAUGUUUCCUCAAAUUUUGUCGCUCAUAUGUGACGAUUUGGUAAUAUUAUGAUACAGCUUUGGAUGUAACGAUUUAAUCCUACUGUUUCACUUUCUCAAUCAAACCAAAAAUAUCAUUUAUAUCUAAUUUAAUUUCAUUCACUUAAAGUUAUGAAUUAAACAAACUUACGUACAAAUUAAGUUUAAUAAAACUAAAAUGUAUUUUUGAUAUUGGUCAUUGGUGUUAUACUUACACAUUUUGAAUGAAUAAAAUCUACAAAUUGGUGGUGUUCUCCCCAUGCAACGCACGGGCUAUAACUAGUAGUUUUAUCAAUUAAUAGUACAAAAGGUGUUACACCUUGAAAUCUCUCGAAGAGCUGGUGCUGCGGGAAUAGUAAGACGGAUCAGCGCUUGAUGGAUUCAGUGCAAACGAAGCCUUCCCAAGUUGAUGGGUGAUCAUCAUUACGUAUGAAUAAUUCUUCCAGCACAGGGCAGUGGUCAAUCAGCGAACUUGAACCCAUAAAAAAAACUGUCCGUACAGACACGCCCAAUGAUGGACCAUUAGCAGCUCUAAUAUUCGUUUCUUCCGAUGCCAAAGGCUGCUGUAAGAAGUACGAGUGUUUUGUCGAAGCAGUGGAAGUUUCUUUAGAUGCGGGUGCAAAAACUUGAGUACGACGACAUUAGCAUUUAUAAGUUGACACUAUUUCAACGACUCUGAUCAGAAGAAAUAUCAGAAUAUGAUUUUAUAACGUUUUAAAAAAGAUUUUGAUCUUUGUUCACAAAAAAAAAAAAAAAAAAGAUUUUGAUCUAUUCUCCAUGCUGUUAUUUAUACCUCUACAAUUAAUUAAGUAACAAAUAUCAAAUUUCCAAACAUCUCCAAUCAUUUUCUACUUUUGAAGCUAUUGUUUAUUAGAAAUUUCCAUUUGGGACUUAAUGAGUGGUACAGAGUACAGACCAUAUUUUUCUAUAUCUUUAGUAAUAAAUUUUAGUUAAAUCAAAUUUGGUUGUACAGAAUUCAGGUUUAGUUUUAAUGAUUUGGUAUAUCAUUCGAGUUAUAGAAACCUAUCACUGGGCUAAAUUAGUCGAUAGACCAAUAUACACCACAGUCCAUUAAAAUAAAUUUUCUUAUGCUUUAGGCCCCUUAAUAAUCUCUCGGCCCAUUUAAUUACCGAUCAUGAAAUGAUAGACGAGCAAGGAACAGAUAAGCUAUAACUACUCUUUAUAGUCAAAACGACUGAGCAAUCAAUACUAACAACAUAUGUCCAGAAAACGUGUUUAUGGACAUUGGAGAUUGGACAUAGCGGCGAUGCACUUAGGAAGGGACUGCUUCAAGCGUGACCACUCGCUGUCUAAGUUUGACUCUAUGCCAUAAGCAAGAAAAAAUAUUCAAUCUUAUUGAGCGAGAUGGACAGAGCCUAAAAAUUGUUAAACCUUAUGUUCCAAACAAAUUCCAAGACCUGUCCCUACUACGGAGUAUUAAAUAUCAAAAACACAGAACACAAAAAAUUAAGAAGAGUGGACAGUAGAAAAAAAAAUGUGUUUCUUUUGGGAUGAAAGCAUCUUAAAACUUUCUUUGCUGAUUUAGUUAGAUUCAAGAUGCUUCUUGACAAUGUUUAGUGCAGUAGUCUCCUCACCGUAAUCCUGUGACAACCAACACAGAACAGCAGAAAUUAAUCAACAGGACACAAGUCAAAGACUUUAUAUAUCUACAGGUUCCAAAGAUUCAUGGAUUAAGAGAAAGUAAAAAGAAUCAUUACCUUGACCACAAGACAUGAGCAUCCAACAACCUUCCUCGCAUUGCCCUCUGAAUCAAGCUUGCAAAGCUGCAGCCACAUUCAAGAUUAAGGGUAGAACGAGAGGAACCAAACAUUCUUUUAAGAGAGAAUUAACCAAGAUUACUUACACCAGCCCAUUCACCGAGUGUUUUGGCACUGGGAACCGUAAGCAAAUUGAUGUUGUGGUCAGUGCAAAGAGCUGUAACCAGCUUGACAUAAUCAGGUUGGUUGCAAUCUUCAGCCAAGACACAGAGCUGAGCAACACGCUUCUCAAUAAGCUUAGUGCUUUCAUGGAGACCACGAACAACACCACCAUAAGCACAAGAUUUCCUAAUUGUCAACUCCGCUGCAGUCAUUAAAUCCAUGUCCUCUGGGAUCACUGCUGCCUCAACAACCGGAGCAACAACAGCCGCAUCACUAAGAAGAUGAAAAAGUAUAAGACUUUACCAGUUCUUGAAUUAUACUUAAAUCAUAACAAUAAGCAUUAAGAAUUUCAAAGCACAAUAUCAAACAAUCUGCAUUUUUAUGUAAUAAAUGCCCAACUAGAAAAGUUUAAAGACAUAAAAUAAAUCCAAAUCCAAGCAUAACAUCUAUCUAUCAAAAACAAAAACUCAUACACCCUAACGUAUCAACUAUAUUUUGUCACUGAUUCAGUAGAUUAAAGAAUGUAGUAAACUCCAAGAAAGCUGCAUCGUAAGAGAAACUUACCCAGACAUAUUAAUUCUUUGAAUUGGCUUUACGAACGAAGAGAAGCAAAAGUCUGCCAAGAAAAUUAAGCAAAUCAGCCUCAAUAAGCACAUAAAUCAAAAUUAUAGGGCAGGAUUUGUAACAACGCAGCGAAAUCGAGGGGGGGAAGAAUUAAAGUUCGACAAUCGCAUACAUAACACAGAUCGAUUUCAAUUGACUAACCUUAGAGAGAGAGGCUGCAACGAAGAGUAAAAGACGAUAGCAAAAUUUGAGUGGUGAAUUUAUAUAGGUGGGCUAUAUUAGGGUUUUACUACGAACCUCGGAUUCGCCACUGAAUACGAUUUUACAGAUUUGUGAUCAACCUGGGCUUAUUUAAUGGGCCAUAUCUUCUUUUCCACAUUGUGUGUGAUAUUGUUGUAUUAGGUUUUGCAAAGAGUAGAAAAUGUAAAAAUAGGAAUCCCUUAUUAGCCCACAUAAACCUUUGAUAAUUAUUAAUAUUUUAAUACAUGAUGAAGAAGGGCGUAUAUUCUGAAACUAAUAGUUUUCAUAUAAAUUUUCUAUUUUUUUUUUUUCAUUAAUUGAGUGAUGUAAUCUGUAAUCAAAAAAGAGAGCUCAAUACCAAAACGGCAAAACCAAAUUUCAUAUAAGCACAUAAAUAACAUAAACUGUUUAAAACUUUGAACUAUAAAUUUGUAAUAUACUGUAAAUUUUAUUACUGAACAAACUGACCAUUUCUCAACACCGUACCUAAUCCAUACAGAACAUUUCUUCAUUGAACCAAUAAUUGCUAUGAUGUUGCUAAAAUAAAAUAUUAAAAAAUAUGAGGAAAGAUUCGUGUGUUCUAAAAACAAUAAAAAAAUAUUCGUUUAUUGACGGUUGAAAAAUCAGUUGAGAAAGCUCCACUUCCGGUGACACAUUUGCUAGAAGAUUAAGAAUUUACAUAGAAGUUUGACUUCACCGAAUAUAUAUAACAGUUCUUUUACUGUAAUCGAGAAAGUCGAUCCUUGGACCUUGGCAAAAAGAAUGUAGAGCAUUCUUGAUCUCACUAAUCAUUAAUGGAUGUACAUGGCUAAUGGGCUAAUCUCCACUGCUAAAGCAAGGCCAAGUGGGUUUAUUUUUAAGGAUCAACACAACUUAAUUGGCCUACGUAUUGGUUCCUAUUAUAUAUUUAGGCGUAUAGAUUGCGACCUCUAUGUAGGAUGGAGAAGAGAGGUUGUAUAUUUAAGGUAAUUCUUAAAAUUAUUUCGAACACAGUUUGUGGAACAGUACACAAAGCGACUGUAACAAAUUUCUUCACUCAUUGUUAUUCAAAGAGGGGGCAAAUGAUAGUAUAUUCAAUGAGAAUCGUCCAACACUGAAUAUGAAAAUGAAAAGCAAACUAUUUGAUGACUUCCGAUGAAACAAAUAUAAAGAUGAUACAUAAACUUACCAGUCGGUACUAUAAAGAGAGCUUCUCUCUCUCAUCACUUAAACUUGUCCAAGCCAUGCAAGUGCAUAUAUUUUAAUUUAAUGCAUAAUUUAGUUAUACUUACAAUCGGAGGCGGGCCGAUCAAACACUUGAUAUUCAGUCUCUGGUUCGGCAACUUUGAUGGGAUAUAUACCCAAUAAAAGAUCAAAAUUUGUAAGCCAUCUAAGAAUCCACUCUGCUCUGUUUUACUAUGCUUUUGUUACAUCCUUUCUUUGUCUCUGUAAAUAAUAAGAAAAACUAGUUUUUUUUCUUGCAAUGUAGUAUUAACCAUUGGUUAAUCAAAAAUAUGUGACAGCUCUCGAAACUUCUUUCUCUCUCUAGGCGAUUUCCAGAUUCCUCUUCACCGACUCUUUCAAAUCGGCGAUUUGCUUUCCGUCGACGGCGGAUCAGUCUUCCGAUUCAUCGGAUCUUCUCGUUCCUUUGCUAUGGCAGAUAAGGAUCUCUGGAUUUCACUCCAAAACCUCAACCUUGGACUAGAGCGAAGCCCUCUAAAGCUCUCAAUAACAAGAGCUUUGUCUGUGGACAGAAUCCCAACAUACCAUUAUCCCUCCUAGGCUGCAGCCUAAGCAAAUUAAUAACUCAGCGCCGAAAACAUUUCAGGAGGUACAGAUGCCUCUUGGAUAAAUCAAGAUAGUAAAAUUGGCGUUGGGUGGACGUUGCAUGACUCGCUUGGCCGAUAUCUACUCAAAGGAAGUGCCUCUUUAGAGCCUACUCAAUCAGUCCUUGAAGCAGAAGCUCUUGCGCUAAGGGAAGCCUUGAUUCAUCUGAAGCGGCUCAACUAUCAGAAUGUCACAUUUUGUGGUGACUCUCACUCUUUAUAUGGAUAUUUGGAAGGCAUUUGGCACAAGAAGCUUCAGACCAGGGGAUCAAACGAGAUUCAAACUUAUCUACAAGAUAUCUCAAAAUUGGCUCAUGACUCUUACCAAUUCCGAUACAUCAAUAGAGCAGCCAAUGUUUUAGCUGACACCUUAGCCAGAGAAGCACGCGACAAUGACUCUCCAUAUGUUAUCUCAUGGGUUCUAUAGUUGUAAGUCAUGAAUUGUACUUUAUAGCUGUGUAACCUCUGUUUCUUUAAUGAAAUAUAAGGUUGACGACAAAAAAAAAAAUAUCUAAAAUAUGUAAUUGAUCACCAGGAUAAAAAAAAAAAAUGAACAAAGUGAUUGGUUUUUGAAUAUUCAUGUUUCAACUUUGGAUAAAAUAUAAAACCUAAAGAAGAAGCGGAAGAAACUCUCUUAUGUGUUUUUCAGUUGUUUUUGAAAGAAACUUGAAAACUAAGUUAAGGAAAGAAUUGAGAGAGAGAAAGAGAGAUUGCAUAAAGUACAUGACACGAGAUGUAUCGAGUUCACCCCCAUAACCGGGCAAAGCUACAUCUCGGGAUAAUCAUCUCGGAAUCCACAUCUUUGAGUUUAUGGAGAUUGAUCUUAAUGUUUAUACAAAGCUAUGUUUAACAAUAAGAACUACGAAAAGAAAACAAGUUUGGUUCAUCAGACCCGAACCAAAUGAUCUCAUUAUGCACAUUAUAAAUCUAGCCAACCCCAUGUUCUCUCAUCCUACAUUGGAGAUCCAAACUGACAUCUAUUAACCGAAAACCAAGAAUAACCUCCUGCUCAAGUAGGCUUUUCCGUAAGAGUUUUGGUCCCUGAACUUGAUGACGGCGCUGCAUAUCAUCUCCGCAGCAUGUAGCUGCACAUACAUACAAGUCGUGUCCAGUUUCAAUACUUAAUUUGAUGGCAUUAUAAACUGUUUUGACCUACAUGAAACUUGGGUAAGCUGGGCGUUUGGAGAGACCAAGCCGAACUUCCAUGUCGUGGUGGUGGAAGUCAACUGGUUUGAGCAUCUUAAUACAGCUUUCUUCACCGAUCGAUCAAUCAACACUUCAAUUCUAAAGUUAACCAAAACAACGUUCAUGAAACGCAGCUUCGAUCAUCAUCUCUAGGUCUCUAGAUGAGAACCUAACAAAAGAAGAGAUUCAAGGAGAAGAUAACAAACUUUUACAAUUUUCAUCAAUGAAUCUGUAACUUGAUCUUCAGCUUCCUUUAAACGCAACAACUUCUGAUAAUUCAUCUCAGCCGUUGUUUCUUCUCUAAUCUUCACCGUCCACGUGUUUCUUCUUCUUUAACCUUCUUAUUCCUGUAUCAAAUCCUUCCCCUUCGAAGAACCUUGACCUCAAGGUUAGAAUGCAGGCAACUUCGUCUAGUUUUGAUUCCUCCUCACUUUGUGGACUGAUUCUUCUAGUUUUGAAGUUCCUCUGUUGUUUAUACUUAAAACUCCAAGUUUUGGAAAAUUUUCUCUGCUUCAUUGUGAUUCCUAUCAAUGCUCGCCCGACGCAGCUUUGAACCUCAAGAGCAUAUUCAAACAAGAAAUCUGAAUGAUUAUUUUCUGGAGGCCGUGGCGCUGACCCAUAAAGAAAAACAAGCAAGGUGUUGUGGAAACCCACAACUCUUAACUUCACGAAAUGUUCCAAUAUGUGUGCCUGGUGUAUAGGGUGUUCUGUCUCCACUCCUAGCCUUCUGUUAAAAACGCCCAUGCCAACAAAGAACAUGAACAUUUCAUCCAAAUAUACUAGAGGCCUCAGCUUUGUAUUCACUUUGCUAUGCCAACUCUCUGAUUCUUGUAUUUCUUUCUUGGAUCCUGCCAUGCCCAGAGACUGAUUGGUGCCUUGCAUUUUAUCGUUCCUCUCAACUAGAACAAUACAAGUACUCCGCUGUGUAAAGGCCAAACUCUUGUUUUUAAAAGCACAACAACUUGGGAACAAGGCAUGACUCCUCUGCAAUUUUUUGCCUACAACUAGCAGCUCAACAAAAAACAUUUCAAACAGAUAACAACAUUUCAGAACUCUAUCACAUUUGUAGUAGUUCUCUAACCAUGUCCAGUAAACCUGUGUAGCUAGUAAUCUCCCACGUUCCCAUACACGAUUAGGUCGUAUAACCAGCAACAACAUCUGCUUCUUAUACUCGUAACCAUAUAUGUCGAAUCCAUGCUUCCAUUCUUUUAGACCAACACUAGAGUUUAUAGUUAAACUACCAAGUUCCCUUUUCCAAGUCUGGGAGUCUGUUAAUGGUGAAUAAAGCAUCUUUGUACUUAAGUUUGUCCCAUAGAGCCUCUGUGAUAUCUUCACAAUUAUACCACACGUGUGAACAUGACUAAGCCAAUCCCACUGAUCUUGUAUACACGUUACCCCACCUGGCUUCCACACAUAGUUUGCUUGAGAAAAACUACGGAUAAAAUCACAGAUUAUUAAACUUGUCGGAGGUAACCUAGUCAUUUCAUUGUCAUGAACAAGCAUCUUAGGGAGAAUCAACAUAUCAACACCAUGACCGAGUCUUGACUCAAAUAAGUUUGUACCAGCAUGUGACUGCAACCUAUUGUUCAUUAUGUGGUCCGAGUCAGAAACCGGUACCUGAGGAUACAUAAACCUUCCACUUCGAUGUGACACUUGCUCUGGUCUCGAGUCCAUAACUUCACUCAUCAUAUCCUCCUCUAUUUGUGGCAUGAGUUUUUGCAAAUUUCGGUUCAUGAUUUUGAAUUUCCAGAACUUGAAUCUGAUAAGUGGCCAUAUGGGAAGUGUUUCAUGAUACACUUGAUCAUUUUCCCUGAAACAAUCAUCUUUGAGAAUGGACCAAGUUUUGGAAAACUCUUUCUUCUUCAUCAAAGCAACUUUAGCACUUGAACAAAUAUAUUUGUACAUGACAUCCUCUCUGUAAAUCAAUUUAUGUGCAGUUGGAUGCCGGUCACUCCUUGGUUUCCUUUGUUUGAAUUUGAACCUCCAAGAUUUAAACCAUUUAGUUUUCUUCUUUAUUCCAAGUCUUUCUUUAUGUUGAGACAUUUUACCAAACACCUGGUGUGCAUAGCAAAUUUUCUCGAUACUUAGCACUUUCGGACUCCUCUCAACAUCACCUUCAACCUCAAAUAUCUGAUCAAUGUUCUUUUGCACCCAUUCUUGCUCCAGAUUCUCGUCCAUCACCACAUAUUCUCGAUUUUGCACUACUUGCUUUACUUCCCUAAGUUCAAUAUUCUUUAAAAUCUCAGAAUUAUCAAUUGAUACCUGAAACUGUGGAGUUGAUUCUUCCUCCAAGAUUGCUCCAUGUACUAAGCCCAUCGAUUCCAUCUCAACCUCAAUUACUUCUUCUUCCUUAUCCUCCUCAGCUUUCAGUUCACUAUCCCUCUUAAGUGGAAGGAUCCCAACGUUAUCAAUGUUGCUUCUAGGAUGUGCAUACUCAUAAAAUUUUCCAAUUAAGAAACAUUGCUGAAUCGUUUGAGGCUGAAACAUUUGAACAUUCACUUGAGUAUCAAUUUGUAGACCAUCCAAAUAGACUCUAACCAAGUAAUCUUCUGGCAGAUUCACUCUUGUGCUAAGCAGCUCAAAAUUUUUGUGAUAUUCAACAAUACCGUUCGUCUCUUUUAACUGCUUUAGCUCAGCAAUUGGAUCAUCUAAAACUUUCUCAAAUCUAUUUAAUCGAAUCGCUUCUAGCAUCUCUGAAAACUUUCGAUCAAUUUCCUGAUUUUGUUUCGUCAUCAAAUCUUCGAACGCUUGAAUCCUUGAUACAAACGUGUCUUCCGUUUUUCUAACCACCACUUCCUUCAAUAACGAUUGCGAUCGAGUCUCCGCCAUGGUUUCACGAACCACCGUUUCCUUGAAUAACAUCUAAGAUCGUGUCUCCGCCAUUGAUACGAAUCCGAGGAUGACACAGCUCUGAUACCUUUAAUACAGCUUUCUUCACCGAUCGAUCAAUCAACACUUCAAUUCUAAAGUUAACCAAAACAACGUUCAUGAAACGCAGCUUCGAUCAUCAUCUCUAGGUCUCUAGAUGAGAACCUAACAAAAGAAGAGAUUCAAGGAGAAGAUAACAAACUUUUACAAUUUUCAUCAAUGAAUCUGUAACUUGAUCUUCAGCUUCCUUUAAACGCAACAACUUCUGAUAAUUCAUCUCAGCCGUUGUUUCUUCUCUAAUCUUCACCGUCCACGUGUUUCUUCUUCUUUAACCUUCUUAUUCCUGUAUCACAUCUCGGUCUUUAGCAGCUCAAAAAGAACCGUAAUGGCUGUGAAUAAGAGAAGUUAAGAACAUGAAAUAUCAUAAGAAUUAUUUGAUGUUCAUUCAUCACUUCUAUCUGACAAGACAGCUCGUAUUCAUCUUCUAUAAUCUUCAUACCCAGUGACGUUAACUAUGGCUGCAUUGCAUUGUUCACGAAUUCAAAAAUUCUUCUAGAGUUUUUGGUAGCUGAACAAGGAGAUCUCGCCGUGGAUCAUCUGCUGAGCUUGCGGCUGCACAAACAUACAAGUACUGUCCAGUUCCAGUACUUGAAAUCUUAAGUCCUUCAACGAAUUGCUCAUAUGUACAAUCGUUUGAGCCAUGGGAACACCUAAAGUAAAACCAAAGAUUUGUCAACAAUCAAACAAAGAUUUCUCAGCAAUCAAACCAAAGAUGCAAUUAUGUAUUAUUAGAGGCACUGCCUUGUACAAAACAUAGGUUUUAUAACAAUUCCUAUAAUCAACCCUUAGCCAAAACAAGAAAAAAAUAUUCAGACAGAAAAAAAGAAAGAAAGAAACUGACCUGCAUAAUACUUUAGUAAUACGAGAAGAGUCUUUUCCAUUAGCUAUUCUCUGAAGUAUAACAGAGCAAUUUAAACUCCAUGGAUUGUCCUUUGAGCCUUUCAUGUACACAUAACACCUCGUCUUGUCAUUAGCAGCUCCAAUGGGGAAGCUUAAUGGCUAAUAAGGGAAGUCGAAAACAUGAAACAUCAUACGAAAAUUCAUUCAAGAACAUAAAAACCUUGAAUCACCAAAACUGCAGUUAAUGUUUGUUAUCAAAAGAGACUCAGACAUCGAAAAUUCAGCCAUUGAAAAUCAAAUCAAAACCUCAGUUACUUGUGUUUGUUGAGAAAUUGAUCGUAAAUCAAAUUCAGAACACUCAAUGCUAUAUUGGUCAGGUCACAAACCCAUUAACAUAAAAACCAGUGGAAUCAUUUAUCCAGUAAUCUGAAUGAUCAUAUGAGCAAAGAAUUAUGUGUGUUAUACUUGUGUCAAGAGAAAAAAGUUGGCUCAAGGAAAAGGAGAAAACCGGGUCUGUGGGGAGUUCAAAAUCAAAUCAUGUGCUCAAGUGAGCUGAGAUAUGGAAUCUCGAAUAUUCGAGUAAGCGGUGCUAGAGAACAAUUAUUAAAGUUUACAAUAUUUUGUUAUGAUUAGAUUUCCUGGAGUUUAGGUAUAUGAAUGAUGAAUGUUAGCUUACUUGUAACUUUUAUGUUGUGAUUUGGUUAGACAUGUGCCCUAUAUAAUGAAGAGUUUUAGCAUGGAAUAAGAGUUUAGCAGUAGGGACUUGGUUACCUCGAAAUAACGAAGUUGGAGACUCCCAAAACAUGAGAAAUCUUCUUGAAGGUUUGGAUCAACUCUAGUUUGCACCCAAACAGAGAAAUAAGUAUCAGUCACACAAGACAUCCGAAUAUAAACAUAUCUAUUGCCCAUAGUUAACAUGAGAGCAUAAGGACUGAACCGAGAAGAAGUAAUGAGUAGAAAAGUAAAAUAAAAAUCUGAUUCAGCUCAAAGACAUCGCAUAUCGAGUCCAAUCUCUGAUCAUGCAACAUAUUAGUGACCGCGCCAAAGGUUGAAGCAUCUCCAGCAAACCUGCAACUCCUCGUUUCUUUGAUGAGUUGAGCUGAUGCCCAUCAAAAUAAUCCUGAAAAAAAGUUUCUUGAGCCAUAACAGAAUUGCCCACUUGAGAAAACCCUUGGAUAAGGGUAUUGUAACUUGUAAGUGACUAUAUAUGUCGCCAACCAAUCCUCCUCUUUGAGACAUCUAGCGGAAGAGUUCCAUACCUUGGUCUACUCUCUUAGCCUUACAAAAUACAUGUAUAAAGGUACUAUAAGUUAAACUACGAUUGGGAGACAGUCCUUCCUAAUCAUCAACUCAAACAUAUGCUUAGCCUCAACGCAAAUCAAAACUCUAAUUUGUCAAUAAAUUUGACACUCGUAAGGUGAUUCCAGAACAAUAGUCCAGUUAUAGCGAGAUAUCUCGUUCUUGACAAGACAGGAUGACUCUCUGGAAGCAAGCAAGUAGCACAUAAAAGGAAACUCCAUGAUAAGUUGUAAAGCAAAACUAGACGGACCUGUGCUGACAUAUUCAUGGAAACAGCAUUAUGCUUCUACAAGGCAUAUUCAUUCAUUGCGUAGUACCUGUGCAAGAGACCAUUUUUUCAAGUAUAUGUGAGCGCAUAUAUAUAUCGCCUCUUUUCCUCGUCGUAUGAUCUGUAGAAGCUGGGUCAAUGCAUCAUCACUAAAGACAUCAACCAACGAUUAUUAGCUACACGAAAGGAAACAAAAUUGAAAAUGUCAAACAGCAUAAAUCUGGUUUGGAAAUCCCAAAAACCAAACUAGUAACAAUGAUCGAUUGUGGUAAUCUGCAUCGAUGGAGACAAUUGAAGCACAUCUAACCCCAAUCGAAUCAAUGGAGGAGUAUAUGAAGUACAUGAAGACCCUUCAUCAUUCAUUCAUAUACUGCAGAUACUUCUCCAAUCUCCGAUUUCAAUUCAACCUAUCCUCAAGUACGAUUCUGAAUACCACUCUAGAGACUCACCGAGAGACUUGGGAUGAGAACAACCUUUCCGCAUUCUCUGAAAUCACUAAACCCAGUAAUAGACUGAUAACCGGGUUAAAUUGGUUUUGGGUAUGAAAAUGGAAAAUCACAUGUACUAGAGUAGACAAGGGAAAUUUGGUUUUCGCAACAAUUCGUCAAAUCCAAUUCCCGGUUUACGUGAAAAAAUAUCGGGAUUUCGUCUACGUGUCUGUUUAGUUUAUCACGAGGGAAGCACUAAAAUUCAAUAACGAACUCAGUCACCUAAAGCUUGGUUAUCAUGAGAAAAUUUGAUUUGUCACUAGAAAAUUCUUGCGAAAUUCCAACACCGGUUAGAUUGGGUUUUGUUUAUUAAAAAAGCAAAUCACAUGUAAACAAGGGAAUUUGGCUUUCUCAACAUUUCUUCACUCAAUUUCCCGGUCUUUCAUACAAUUCAAUUCAAUUCACUAUGGAAGGGAGUGAUUAUGGAGCAUUGAUUUAGGUAUAGCAAUCCUCAAAAAGGUCUAGAUACCCAUGUAAGACAUUUCUUUCUUUUCACUAUAUAUACAUGCAGUCAUGCACUAACAAAAAUGAGGAAGCAAAACUCUUGUUGGAUUUUCAUUUGAAUGUAGAUAUACAUAUCAACACCUUUAUACCCAGAAAUGGGUUUUUAACUUUCUCCUUACAUUAUAUCAAUUAAGAAAAAAAUAAAUGUAUAGUGCUGAUUAUCAUCAAUUAUGGCUCAGUUUCAAAGACAAUAUACAUCAGAGAACAAAUAUUUCAAGACACUAACAAACAGAUAUUUCGUGAAACACAUAACACCUCUCAUGGUCAUUAGCAGCUCAAAAAGGAACCGUAAUGGCUGUGAAUAAGAGAACUUAAGAACAUGAAAUAUCAUAAGAAGAUACAUGGCUGUUCCAAUGCCACAAUCAAACUUUCCUCUGCAAGUUGUAAACAGGCUAAGAACUUCACUUUCCUAGGCAUUUUCGUCUUAAAUGGAAUCCACAAUCAACAAUAAUGCAACAAAUGAUGCUGUUCUCACAAGAACUUGCCCAUCAAAGGCAAAAAAGAUCUAAAAAAGUGACUGACAAUGAACAUUUUCAAGCGUUAACAUUUCCUUUUAUUCCUCAUUAAAGAAGAAAAGACUUUCGUAUAGCAUAUAUAUAUAUACUAGGGGAGGUCCCCGCGCCCAGCGCGGGGUUGUAUGUUGAUUAAGACCAGAAUUAAUAAUUAAUAUUUAGGGUUAUCAAGUUAGGGAUAUUUAUUGAAUUAAUUUUGUCAAGAGUCUAAUUUUUAUAACGACAUUAAUAUAGAAUUAUGGUAAAACGCUAUAACUUUUGAUAUAUAUUAUUAGUAAUCAACAAUUAAUAGUGUUUUUGAAUCACAAACAAUUAUUAGUGUUUAUAUCUUGAUAUAUAUAAUAGAAUUAAAUAUAAAAAAUCUAUAUAUUUAAACCAACAAUAUAUUAGCAACGCCCCGACCGCCACUGUCCAUGGGUUCCCACGUCCAGUCUCGGUCUUUAGGCCCAUCUUCUUUGUUUUGUCGUACUCUUGAUUUUAUGACAUAUUCAUGCUUACUCGUUUCUUUCAUAUUAGCAACGCCCCGAUCGCCACUGUCCGUGGGCUCCCCACGUCCAGUUUCGGUCUUUAGGCCCAUCUUCUUUGUUUUGUCGUACUCUUGAUUUUAUGACAUAUUCAUGCUUACUCGUUUGUUUCAUAUUUGUAAUGCCACGACCGCCACUGUCUGUGGGUUCCCACGUCCAGUUUCGUUCUUUGAGCACAUCUUCUUGGUUUUGUAGUACUCUUGGUUUUAUGACAUAUUCACGCUUCCUCGUUUCUUUCAUAUUUGUAACGCUCCGACCGCCACUGUCUGUGGGUUCCCCACGUCCAGUUUCGGACUUUAAUUUGGGCCCAUCUUCCUGGUUUUUGUUGUAUUCUUGAUUUUAUGACAUAUUCAUGCUUUUAGAUUGUAUGUCACUAGAGUUUUUCGUAGUUGGAAACAAAUAAUUGAAAAAUAUAAUCUCUUACCAUAUCUCUUACCUAUCAAGUAAGUCAUCUUGCUCUUUGAAGUAGUUAUGUACGUAAAAUUUCAAUGGUAUAGAAACAGGCAUCUCUUUUGUAUAUAUCGUGUCAUAUUUAUCGUCCCUAUUGUAGUAUCUUUGUCUCUACCUUCGCCAUUGGUCGCUGCGUAACCCUUCAGUUGAUCUCUUGUUUAUAAAACCCAUAUAAAAAGUUGUAAGAGAAAUAUCAUUUUCUUAACUGUAUCGUAUAUGUAUUUGUAGUAUAUUGAUCUGAGAUUGCAAAGAUGUAUGCCUAUCAAGAAGCUCUUAGCAAAGUAAACACUGAAGAUAGGUACUAAAAAUGAGAGGAUUACAGAGAGCAAGUAUCUAUCCCUUAGAAACCACUAUGUGCAACUGAGAAUAAUUCAUAUAUGUACAUACAUACACAUGUAUACAACGUAUUGAAGCUUUUAAAUUUAAAUAUCGAAUGCUACAAAACUGGAAAAUUGCUUGUGGAAAAAGCAAUAUGAACAUGGCCACAUAUAUAACAAAUAACCGAUUAUGCUUGUCGUAGAUCAUUCUCUUUCAAACCAAAAGUUUUACCUAAACAACAUAUCAAGUGACUCACAAGAGAUACAUAAGAGCCAUAUCCUAAAAAUAUCCGGCAAAGCAAAAACGCUCCAGGUUCGAGAAGGAAGUCAUUGGAAAAUUUGAGUAUAUACCAAACUGGAGAGUAAUUCGGCUACAAAGAGAGAUGUGUUAGCUUUGAAGAAAAAGCUAUGUGAUGUUCUACCUUUUAUUUAUGAAUUUUAUGCUAUGAAUAUAUGUUUUUGUUAGGGUUCAACUUCAGUCUCCGGAUUAGAGACUUAUAUUCAUCCGACAAACAAUUCGAUGUCACAAUCAACGCUACAAAAUUGGUGGGUUCUCUCUAUUAACAAACAAAAAAAAAUUCUGGGAUAUAUAUAUUUUUUUUGUUUUGUUAGAUCCAUACGACGAAGAACAUGACGAAGAACACCAAAAAUUCUCAUCAAUCCGGUACGUUUGAUCUUAUUUUUAUUAGUUUAACAAUUACGGUUAUGUCCAAAUCUGAAAUAACCAUGGCUCCAGACUCCUUCACACCAUGGCCACAUAUCACCGGAGUGGAGACGAUUUCAAAUUCGGAGCUUCUCUUCGCAUAUAAAAUCAUACAUAUGGUCUCUUUGUUUUGGGUUCCCUCUACAAUAAUUAGUACAUAUUUCAAAACUGAGCUACAAAAGAGCACAUUGGAUUUUGGUAAACAUCAAGAUUGCUUCCUACCUUCCAAGAAACAUGAUAGACUAAUUCACAUCCAAGACCAAACAUUAGCCACAUAAAGCCUGAAUCAAAUUAAACGAUCUUAGGAUGCUCUUCAUAAUCCGUAAGUUAAAGAGACUUGCAUUAAUAUUGCAAAUUAGACUCUAGAGGUGCACAAUGGUUAAUCAGAGUGUAUCAAAGACGACGAAUAAAGCAUGAAUUAGAAUAUCAGCAGAGGAAGCACACAAAUAUUCAAUAAACGUAAUCAAUCACUGAGAAUAGCAUGGACCCAACUUUUGAAAGAUUCAUAAAAAAGGAAGAUUUUUCCUAUGCAACAAUAUUCAAACAAUGAGAAGAUCAAUGAUUGAUGACUAACCAUACAACCGAAGCAAAGCCAUAAACAGAAACGAAAGUACUAAAGAGCCACAACAGCAGUGAUACGACAUUUGUUUCCUCGCACUGGGAACAAUGACGUGCUUCCAUAAAUCCAAUCUAGUUUUUAUGGAAAACAAACCUGCAUUCAUAAUAAACACUACUAUUAAUUAUUAUUUUUUAUGCAAAAAUUAAAUGGCAGUAUAAAAAAUUCAAUAGUUAGUGCCGAAAAAAAAAGCAAGGAUUAGUUAUGAUAUCAAAUCAAAAUUAAAUAUCAAGCAAGGUAUUUACAUAAAAUUAAGGCAGUGGAGGAUCCAAGAAUUUUUUAUAUGACAAUAUCUACAACUAAACAAAGAAAAUUUAUAUAUUUUUAAAACAGAAUCAUUAUUUGUUUUUUGGUAAGAUUAAAACCGAAUCAUUAUCAUAUUAGUAAAAUUAUCAUUUAUUUAUUAUUAUCCACGUUAAUUUAAAAGUUUAAGAGAAUAUCUGCUUUUUUCUCAUAAAAGGAUGGGAUAAUAACAUAACUCUUUUAGAUUUAUAACUAUAUUUGACAUUAUCAUAUUAAAUCUAUUAAGAUAAAUAUAUUUCUUUUUGAAAAAUAUAAAUAAAAUGAUAAUAUAAUUAUUAUAGAUUUACAAUUAUAUUAUUAUCCAUGUCAAAAUUUUAAAACAUUUUACUUUUUUCUCACAUAGGAAGAUAGAACAAUAACGUAACAGUUUAAGAUUUACAACAUAAAAAUAAUAUCAGAAUUGGAACGCCAAAUCAUAAUCAACACAAUUAACACAACUCUAAUGGGAAAUUAGAGUUAUAUUGUGAUUAAAAUACUAAACAAACAAAACUAACCGAAACAAAACAAAAGUCUUCCUUUCAAAAUCAUUAACGUGACGGAUUGCUGACUGAUUAAGUUGAAGUUUUAGGCAUUUAAAGAUCUAGAAAGAUGAUUAAGGUUAAAAAUUUUUAUUUAUUUUAAACAACGUUUGAAUGUUGACAAAAAAAGAAGAAGAGAGUGUUGGGACCAUCGGGAGAGACAACGUUGAGCAGCUGCGAAAGAAGCCAACGUUGUCUAUUAUGUUCCUCACAGUGUUUGAUUUGACUUUUGAUGACAUUACACUCCUGUCCACUUGUUGUCUCGAAAGUUCAUGCAAUGGAAAAUUAUUAAACAAAACAAUUUACUUUUAUGUAUAAAUCCUAGGGAAGAACCGAUCAAGCUAAGAUCAAUGGUUGUGGUUUUAGUACCGUAUACUUCUCAAAUAUACCCGUUGAAUAACGGAAAUCCGCAAGACGGGGAGGAGACGAAGUCAACCUAGCUGGCAAAGGAGCUAACCCAGCUCCUUUGGUCUUAUUUAUGGUCAUAUGUAUUUAGCAAAAUAUGGUAUACAAAUCGAACUAAUCAACAACAAAACCUGGUUUUAAAUUGUUGUAUAUUUCUCAAAAGUCAAAACCCAUAAUAACCAAUGGAACAGAAGAAGCUAAUGCAGAGCAUACUUACGCUUGGAGUAAAGAGUGAUGCAAGCUUCCAUUGGCACACCCGAAAACGCAUCAGAGCAUGGAAAGAAACCUAAAAACCAAUAAAUUAAACAAUAAUUAAAUCUUAGUGCAUGGAAAACGAAUCCUAUACAUACCAAAGUCCGAAUCUCAGUGCCUUAGAAUGACCUCGAUACCAAAAACUUUAAGUUACUACUUCAAUAUAUGUAAUAUUUUAGUUUGGGGAGAGAGAUUGGCAACGAAGAGUAAUUCCUGAAUUUAACAGCCAAGUUUGUUAUCCCUAAUCUAAAGAGAGGAAUACUUAAAUUGUAUUAACGACAAAAAUUAGCCUCCUCUGAAGAUUCAUCCCUGAAAUAAGUCAUCUUUCUGACUUUGUGGCAACUGUGUUAUCAAAAGUUGAGUGUUUCUUCUGAGAAAAGACAUAUUUGAAAAUAAUAAGAACAUGUACCUCAACAAAAUCGGGAGGUACCUCAUCUUUUUACAACAAAAAGAAACAUACCAAACCAUCGAUGAUUACCUUCUCAAAAGUUGAAACCAAACUUUUUGAUUAUAAAAAUUGAUUAGUGGUGAAAAUAGUGAAACCAUAAAUACAAAAAAAAAAAAAAAAUCAAAUUUGUACAUAUAAACUAUAAGAUCACCUGUUUAUUCAUUGAAUUAGGUCCAAAUUUUCUAUACACCAGUUCACAUCGUCCCCUCCAUACAUCCACCCUACAAUAAAAAGAAAAAGAAAAAUUAGGUAGAAGCAAAAAAAAGUUUGAAAAAAAAAGAACAAAAAAACAAGGGUUAGUUAUGAUCUGAAAUUGAAUACCAUGAGCAAGGUAUUUAUAUUGAAUAGGAGGCGGUGCAUGAUUUAGAGUUUCUAAAUUUUUCGACGAUAAAUACAAAAAAAGAAAAGAAAGACAUGCAUGGUAUCCAUAUGCGUCAUGUCACGCUGAUCCAUAUUUUUUUCCAAAACUCGAUCUAAUUGCUAUUAUGUGCAAAAAUCACCGCCGUUCACGUUCAUGUUCACGUUAGCACUCCAUACCUAAUUCACAUGUAAACCUCUCUGCCUAUCUCUGACUUCAGCUCUCUCAUCUUCGAGUCUCCCCAAGAAAGUUUUGACACCACACCAACAUUUCAUUCGUCAAAAUUAAAUCGAGUUUGCACAAGGUUACAACCGAUUAAUAGGUGGUCUUCUACCUUCUAUUUACGAUUUUAUGCUAUGAAUAUAUGUUUUUGUCAGGGUUCAAGUCAAUCUCCAGAUUAGAGACUUAUAAUCAUCCGACGAACAAUACGAUGGCGUGAUAACCGUUUCUAAAUUGGUGGGUUCUCUUUCAUUGAUCUACAUAUUAUUUUUUUUGACGACAAACACGACGAUCAUACCAAAAAUUUCAUCUAUUCCGGUACGUUUGAUCUUUAUUUUAAUUAGUUUAACAAUUAAUUGCCGUUUACGAUUAAUUUCGGUUAUCUAAAUCUUAUUAAUUUGAGUAAGGUUAGAAUAGUAUUCUUUUAUGUUUAUAUUAAUGCUCCGAUUAAUAAUUUUCGGAUAUUUGACAUUAUCAUCUUAAAUAUAUCAAUAUUAUAAUAAAUAUUUUCCUUUUCCGAUUUUUUUUUUGGUAUAAUUCCUUUUCCGAUAAAUUAUGAAACAGAUCUGUUUCCCCAAAAGGUAAAAAAGAAAAAAAAAAAAAAAAAAAAAAAAAAAAAAAAAAAAAACCAUCAACCGUCUCCAUUCACACGUUUCUUCAUUAUGAUCACGAAUUCACGUUCAUGGAAGCUUCAUCAUACAUUAACACUUACAAGUUUCUUCGUCGAGUUUUUAUCCAAGGUUUCUUCGUCAACUCUGUAUCCAAGGUAAUAAAUAUUUGUUCUUUUCAUUGGUUAGAAUUAUAGGGUGCAGGAUAGUAUUGACGUCUUAAAGACAUAACAUGGGCAAGAUACUAUGAGAAGCUUGACUAUUCUGCUUCGACAGAUCAACAAGUGAAAUUCUAUCACUAAAUUAUUAGAUCUCUGUUAUUGCUAUGAAUAUAUGCUUUAUGUUAGGAUUUCAAGUUUUGCCUUCGUUUAGAAGAAUUAUAUUCACACGACGAAGAACACGAUGAAUUCAAUUAAAGCUUCCUAACUGGUACUUCGUUGUUCCUUUUUUUUUUUGGUUAAUUAUCAUGUUUAUUGUUUCCAAAAUUAUUUUUCCUGGUUAAUUCCGAAAUUCAAUUUAAUUUUUCCAAAAUUAAUUAGAUUUCAUUAAGGGUAAUUAAGUAAUUACGUAAAAUCAAUGACUCAACAAGAGCCGAGAGUCCGACACGUCAGCAAAAACACUUCUCAAAUAUUAUUAUAUAUAGAUAUAUAUCAAGACACUUUAACCACUGAACUCAUCAGGUUAUCAACUUGCCUUCCAUCCAAAAAGAACUUGGCAGCUUUACAGGAUGCUGUUUUCGACUCCUCCACACGAGCCGUCCUUUUCCUUUUUUCCUGAUUAUCAGUCAUAUUAUCAAUGGCUACUUUGCUGAGCUCUAUAAAUUCUUUUAGAGCAUGGGUAAAUCCAGUCAACUCCGCAGACAACUCAUCCUGGAGUUGACGCUCGGAUGAUGCUUCAACUUCAGAAGACGGCUGAGAUUGAGAUGAACCCUCAGAAGAUACGUUCACAACAGUCGCGUCCUUAGUAGCAGAUGUAGUAGUAGAUGCAGAUGCGUUCACAGUAGUAAAUGCACCCUCGACAGAUGGGUUCUCAACAGAUGGGUUCUUAACAACAGAUGCAGAUGCGUUCUCAGAAGUAGAUGCACCCUCAACAACAGAUGCAAAUGCACCCUCAGCAGGUGCGUCCUUAGUAGCAGAUGCAGAUGCGUUCACAGCAGCAGAUGCAGAUGCGGUCUCAGGAGCAGAUGUAGAUGCGUUCUCAGCAGCAUAUGCAGAUCCGGAAGCAAAUCCCCGUUUAGAUGCUUGUUUACUGCUUCUCUUCUCUCCGGUAUAGUGGCUGUGAAAGAUCUUGAUACAUGGAGAUUCAGGAAUUUGCGACCAAUCUAAUUUUUCCAGCUUUACAAUUGCAUUGGGCUGAACUAUCUUUUUUCCCUGCUUGACCUUUGCAGCUGCUUCAGAAGACGGCUGAGAUUGAGAUGCACCCUCAACAGAUGGGUUCUCAACAGAUGGGUUCUCAGUAGUAGAUGCGUUCUCAGUAGUAGAUGCACCCUCAACUCGUGCGUCCUCAGUAGCUGAUGCAGACGCAGAUGCGUUCUCAGUAGUAGAUGCACGCUCAGCUGGUGUGUCCUCAGUAGUAGAUGCACGCUCAGCUGGUGUGUCCUCAGUAGUAGAUGCACGCUCAGCUGGUGCGUCCUCAGUAGCAGAUGCAGACGCAGAUGCGUUCUCAGUAGUAGAUGCACGCUCAGCUGGUGUGUCCUCAGUAGUAGAUGCACGCUCAGCUGGUGUGUCCUCAGUAGUAGAUGCACGCUCAGCUGGUGUGUCCUCAGUAGUAGAUGCACGCUCAGCUGGUGUGUCCUCAGUAGUAGAUGCACGCUCAGCUGGUGUGUCCUCAGUAGUAGAUGCACGCUCAGCUGGUGUGUCCUCAGUAGCAGAUGCAGAUGUGUCCUCAGUAGCAGAUGCAGAUGCGUUCUCAGUAGUAGAUGCACCCUCAGCUGGUGCGUCCUCAGUAGCAGAUGCAGAUGCGUUCGCAGUAGUAGAUGCACCCUCAAAAGCAGAUGCAAAUGCACCCUCAGCUGGUGCGUCCUCAGUAGCAGAUGCAGAUGCGUUAUUAGUAGUAGAUGCACCCACAACAACAGAUGCAGAUGCACCCUCAGCUGGUACGUCCUCACCCUCAGCAGGUAAGUUCUCAGUAGCAGAUGCAGGUGCAUCCCCAGCAAGUGCUUCAAAGUAUGCUUUAUAUGCCUUCUUUGCCUCGAGUUUUUUCACAAAAGAUAUAUAUUGGAGCUGACUCUUUCCCUCUAACCGUGCAAGUUCGUAAGGUUUCAUAUCAUUCUUGUAGAGUUUUUUUCACACUCUCUUCAAGGGGGAAGUAGAAAAGGCUUGAUUCUGCUGAGGACUGCUGCAGUUGAGAAUCCACCUCAGGCUUGUCUUUCACCAUCGUUCACAGUAGUAGAAUAUGAGAUUCCUUGUCGAUCUUUAGAGCAAAAAAAAAACAAGAGAAAUUUUCCCAUCAAAAUCACUAUACCAGAGAACUAUCAAUUUAACAACAACAACAACAACAACAAGAGACUUGUCUGCUGUUUCUACCUAAGAGAUUUAAAGAUGUUGAAUUUUCUAUGAGUUUCUUGAUAAAUUACCUUUGCUCGGUGAACUUCUUCUUCUUGCUUCAGAGAAUAUAAAAACCAACCCUACAUGAGAAAUUAAGAGAAAAAUCAGAGGAACUUAGACUAUCAAAAUCACUAUACCAGAGAACUAUCAAUUUAACAACAACAACAACAACAACAACAAGAGACUUGUCUGCUGUUUCUACCUAAGAGAUUUAAAGAUGUUGAAUUUUCUAUGAGUUUCUUGAUAAAUUACCUUUUGCUCGGUGAACUUCUUCUUCUUGCUUCAGAGAAUAUAAAAACCAACCCUACAUGAGAAAUUAAGAGAAAAAUCAGAGGAACUUAGACUAUCAGGAAAAAAAUUUCUCCGGGAAAAUAAAAUUUUCUCGGGAAAGUUACAAAACAGAAGCGAGAAUGAGAAAAUAGAGAGAAGCAAUAAAAAUUAUUUUUUUUCCUUCCGUGAACUUCUUCUUCUUCUUGCUUCAGAAAAGAUCAAAUCAUAGAAGAAGAGGAACUUAUACUACAGAAAACAAAAUUCUCAGGAAAAUGAAUUUUUUCUCGGAAAAUCUUGUAACAGAAGCGAUCAUAAGAAUUUACCUUGUUCUUGGUUCCGUGAACUUCUUCUUCUUGCUUCCAAAAAUAUCAAAUCAACACUACAUGUUGAGAGUUAAAAGAGAAAUUAAGAGAAGAAGAAGAGGAAUUCUCCGGGAAAGUGAAUUUUUCUCGGGAAAAGAAGAGAAACUCAAGGAAGAAAAUCAGAGAAAAAAAUCAAAGAAGAGAUUAUGAGGAAGAAGAACUUAGGCGAGACUCAAGUAAGAGAAAACGGACUGAAUUAGAGAGAAGAGAGAAGACGAAAGAUUCUCGGAAAAUCUUGUAACAGAAGAUGAAAAAUUACCUUGUUCUUGCUUCCGUGAACUUCUUCUUCUUGCUUCCGAAAAGAUCAAAUCAACCCUACAUAUUGAGAGGGAAGAGAGAUUAAGAGGAGAAGAAGAUGAAUUCUCCGGGAAAAUGAAAGAUUCUCGGAAAAUCUUGUAACAGAAGAUGAAAAUUUACCUUGUUCUUGGUUCCGUGAACUUCUUCUUGCUUCUGAAAUGAUCAAAUCAACACUACAUGUUGAGAGGAAAGAGAAAUUAAGAGAAGAAGAAGAGGAAUUCUCCGGGAAAAUGAAAUUUUCUCGAGAAAAAAGAGAGGAGAAACUCAAGGCAGAAAAUCAGAGAAAAAAACAAAAGAAGAGAUUAUGAGGAAGAAGAAGUUACGCGAGACUCAAGUAAGAGAAAACGCACUGAAUGAGAGAGAAGAGAGAUACGAAUUUUCCCUCCAUUGAAUGAGAGCGAAUGAGUCACUGACACCUGUCAGCUCUCUUGUGCGGCCUGUUUUGAAGUAUCCGGAUCCGGAUCCGAACACAUAUCCGUUAAAAACCCGGAUAUCCGGAUCCAAACCACACCCAAAGUUGACAAAACCGAAAUCUCCCAAUCUCCGGCAAAUACUCGGAAAGCUGAUGAAGCAUCCACAGUUGCGAAAUCCAUCGUGCUGUGGUGAUGAUGAGCGGAGAUAUGGCGGUGACAUUCUAGCUGGUUCGCUGGGGAAGAAGACUGAUAGCCUCGCGUGAACUCUCCGCCGGAGUGCUUUUUUUUUUUUUUUGAGCAAAAGAAAUCGAAGAAGCUUAACCUAAUUUUUGUCCCAACUUUGAUUUUGUGAGAUUCAUAUGUAUUGGGCCAAGUCAAACAUCAAGGCCCAAACUGUUAAACCCAGCUUCAUCUUGAAACUGUUACACAGAUCCCGUGUUUCCCAAAGUUAGUAGAACUACAUUGACUUGCCUUUGAUCUUUUAGACAACAUUCUUCAAUGUUAAUUUAAUCAGAAAGAACCAAAAAAAAAAAACAACCGUAUUUUUCUAAUGUUUGAACAUAAUUAAGAAAUUUCACAUUAGAAAAACUUUUUAAACUGAGAAGGAAAAAGUAUCAGUUUGUAACCAAUAGCGAAAGCGGAACAUAACUACUUAAAGCCAAAGACUAACCCAACUCGAAUUCUUAUAUUUUUUGGGCCAAUUAGAUGGCUGUAGUAUUUUUGUCUGAGUCAGUUAGUAUCUCUUCUUUAUUCUACACAUACUGUUUUUUGACUUUUUUGCCCCUGGCUAUAGGCCCCAUGAAACGAAGGUUUUUGCUGAUGACGUCAGGAGAGAUGGAGAGACAAGUAUUUUCAUUCGUUCACCUUUUUCAUUUUAUAAAAUAUAUAUAUUUUAAAAUUUGAAUUAUAACUAUUACGUUGCUUACAAAAAAUUUACGCACCACGAUUUUAUAUUACAAGUAUAUGCAAAAAAAUUGUGCAUAUGAUAUAUCAAAAUUAUAUAAACCAGAUAUCAAAAUAAGAUUUUUAUUUAAAUAUCAACAUUAUAUAAACCAGUGAUUUCUCAUAGGUCUACAAGGAACACGUUAAAUUACGUCGUUUAAUAUUGAACAUAACUUCGGUUAUAAAAUGACUUAACACUUAUACCGUCAGUUCAUAGACCGACUUAAUAUUCUAUGACGCUAAAAUUCUUUAACUUUAACGUCAUUUACGCAGAAGUGAAUAAAAGUCUUUAAGCAUAAGAAAAUAAAACCAUACAAACAUUUUCUGCUAGAUUCAUGUAAUAAACCUUUCUUUAAUGGGAUCCCCACAUGAUUCAUCAACAAAUAUUUAAUUUUUCGAUAGAAGAAAACACAAAUAUUGAUAACAAAUAUUUUGGUCGGUUUAGUAAUGCUUCUAAUUCAAAAGUUUACGUCGUUUUACGAAAUGACUUUGGUUAACUGACGUAAUCCAGCGUGUUUUUCGUAGUGGUGUCAGGUUACCAUGUCUACGUAGAAGGGAAAGAUCUGGCCACAUAUAUCUUGAGAAAGUCUUGCUUAUUAAAGACAGAAACAAUAUCGAUCGGACCAGGGUUGGAUCAACAAAAGAAGCUUCAGAUGGAGACAGAGGUGAAAUUUUCUUUCCGUAGUUCACCCACAUGUAACCUCGUAGUCAAUGAACAUUGGAAUUGUUAAAUUUGAUAGACAUCUUUGGAUUUGAUCUAUUAAAGUUUUUGUUGCAUUUGAUUUUGAUGAUUACAUAGCUGUUUUAAGUGUUGACGAGGAAUUACAUAUUUAGCUAAACGUGGAAGUUGCUUUUGAAAUGAAAACUGCAUUUUAACAACAUCUAUGAAAACAACGAUGAGUCUAUACAAACCUCACGACCCAUCCAAAUCCAUCUUAAUGAUCUUACAACUACAAAACAAUCAUCACAUACACGUCACCCCAACUUAGAAAAAAAAAGCAAACACCAAUCAGAAAAAAUAAACACAGCUAAGCUCUAACUUACAGUUUGGGACGAGAACGAAUCACUUUUAAGCUCGUUGUGACCUUCUUUGUCCUCUUGCCACAACCAUUUUGGACAAAACCUCUUCAAGAUACUCACAACGGUCUCUAUGGUGUUCGAUCCAUACACAUAACUGUCUUAUCGCUUCUCUCUUCUCUUCUCCUAAUCCCAACAAUGUCUCCUUCAACUUCUCCUUCUCUUUCUCCUCUUCUCUCACUUGACCUUCAAGCUUCUUCUCCAUCUCUUCCUUAUCCUUCUCCAUCGCUUCUUUCUCCUUCUUCAUCACUAUCACACACUUCUUCGCCGUCAGAAGCAUAUUCGUCGCUUCGACCACUGUUUCCUCGUAGCUUUUGUGCUUCUCCUCAAGUUUUUCAGACAGGGAUUGGAACCGGUUUAGUAUUGUUGAAUUCACUCUCUCUGAUAUCUCUUUGAUCAUACCUCGAUAUGUUUCGUGGGUUGUUGCGAUUUUCUCCUCGAGCAAUGCUUGUUCCUCUAAAUGCUUAGCUUCUAUUCUCUUCAACUCUCCUUCUUUCUCUGUUAACACUUGUUCGGUUACUCUCAGUUUCUGGUUAGACAAACGGAGUUUAACCUCGAUGUUACUCAUCUUCUCCAUCAAACUCUCUAUCUCGUCUCCUUUCAUCUCUACUUCAUUACGUAGACUCUCUACCGUCUCCUCGAGAUCUACAAUCGCGGAUUCCCUCGAUGCAACAUCUUUACCGGUCUCUUGCAUUCUCCUCUCUGUCUCCUCCAUCUUCGACAUGUACUCCUCCAACAUCUCUCGUGCUUGUUUGUAAUCAUCUGUUAGCUUCUUGAUUGUUGCUUCUCGUUCUUCGAACAAGCCGUUGAUCUGUUUGUGUUCUUGGCUCAGCGUAUUGUACGCAGCUUCUUGCUCUAACAACGCUUUCUGCACAUCAUUUAUCUGAUUCAGUAACGCUGGUUUCUCUUGCUUCUCUCUCUUGAGUUCUGCAUCGGUUUGCCCCUGUAGACGGUUAACUUCUUCCAGUGUACUCUCGUGAUCUUUCGCCUUAUUCGCAAGCUCUGCUUCCAAUCCAUCUCUCUCUUUCUUCACAUCUUCUAGCUUCUGAUUAAGAUCAGAUUCAGUCUCACCAGCAACUUCAAGUUUCUGAUUUAGUUCUUUGUUCUCACUCAUUAACUUCUCAGCUUCAAGUCUCAAAUUCCCACAGAUCUCCUCUGAUUCCUUUAACUUCUUCAAAAUCUCUUGGUGCUCUGAUUCAACAGCUUCUUUUUCUUCAUCAGUUGUUGCUAACUUUCUUUUGAGAUCAGCAAUUUCAAGAUUUGCAUCUUCCAUCUGUUUCUUUACCAACUCUAUGUCAUUCUCAGCCCGCCCGUUUCUCUUGCUCUUCUUAUCUGAAUCCGAGUCUGAACUCGAAGAAGAAGAGCUCUCGUUCUCUCCUUUCCCAUGAACUUUUUUCCUGAUCUCACCCGUUAGAUCAUCGUAUUGUUGAUACAAAGACUCAUACUCUUUGUAGAAGUCCUUCACUAACUCAGCAACCACUAGUCUUUUGGAUUCAUCUUCCUCAAUAUCUCCACUCUCAACAAUUCCUAAGAUUUUCUUCACUUUCUCAUCAAUUUCUGCAUUGUUGAGAAAAGUAUAUUUUCUCCAUUUAAAACCAAAAGACCUAUGGAUUUAGCAUGAUCUGACAAAAAGUAAAAUAACAAGUGCACAAAAAAAAUUACCAGUUUUUGUUCCUUUGAGUGAUUCACCAUUAUCAGGAUGAAGAUGAGGCUCAAAGAAAGAUUUUAAGGAGUCUCUAAUACUAAGCUUUCUCAUUUCUUCUUCAAUCAAAAGAUUCGAGAUUUGGAACUAACAAGUCAUGUCCGGGACAUCAAGCACGAUCUGUACUUUACACAAUAUCACAGAGAAGACAUGUGAGAAGAAACUAUAACUUGUUCAAGACAAUUAGCAAUAUUCAAUUGAAAAAGAUACCAUCAUUUUCAUGUUUAGUAAACUAAUGUUAAUUUGGGGCUGACUUGCAAUUGAAUAGUAACAGAAAUGAAAAAAAGAAAAAGUAGAUGACUCAAUUGGAGCCUGACAUGACCAAACAAGUAGAUACCAGAAGUAUAACUAUUUAAAUCAAAGUAUAAUAUGAAUAUCUUAUGACAAAAAGGUGAGAUUAGUUAAAAGGCAGAUGGAUCCAUCCCCAUCCUCUGGUAAUAAAAAUACAAAGUAGUAGUAGAUACUCUCAUGAUCCAACAACAAACUAUAGAGAUCCAUACCAAUGUGAUAGUUUUUAAAACUGAUUACAAACUUUAAAAUCCAAAAUUGCUAAUCAGUUUUUAGCAAUUAAUCUGAUAGAAAAAUGAUUAGAUGCUAAUUAAGAAAUGAAUGGUAGGAGAAUGUAGUGGAGAAACUUUAAGGGGAAUGGGAACAAGAAAGCACAUAGAAUGAUCAUAAAAAGACAGCUAUCAUCAUCAUCAUAACCAUAUGAGUUGUUUCUUUUUAUGUCUCUAUUAUACAAAGACAAUAAUAGAGGUCUUCCAAAUCUUCCCCCAAAAAAAUGUUAAAAAUAUUAGCAUUUUGAAACAAAGAUGAUACACUAACUAGUAGCAGAUCAAAAUCGAGAUUUAAUGGAGUUGCAUGAAAGAUUAAUAACAAAGAUCCAAGUACAUGAAUUACAAAUCUGCCAAAACUAGCUAUGAUUAAGGAACAUGAGGUAGACUAUUAUAGAAACUAAACACCAUUGAUAAAUAGCUAGAAUAUCACCGAAACCUCUUAAGAGCAUAACCUGAGUUUAGCCUAUAAUCUCUACAAAUAAAAAAAAAAAAAACUUCAAACAAAGAAAUUCACUAGAAGAUGAGCUACUACACCAGAUCGAAGAGUUAACAAGAACUAGGAACUUGAAAUCGAAGAUCUAAUCAAAACAGAGAUAUCGAAACUCAGCUCAAUCAUCAAGUGAUCGGAGAUCUUUUUUUACCUGGAAGAAGAAGCUCCGGUGACAGAAAACGGUAGCUAAAAAAAACAAAGGAGAUAUUUGUAUACAAAAAUUAAUGGCGAGAAAAUGAAACGAAUUUAUAAAACCGACGAAAGAGAGAGAGAGACAGAGGAGAAGAAAAGUGGUUCGGUUUUGGACUUUUUUAUGCCAGCACAGAAAACGUUAGAUGAGUUACAUUUCCAAUUAUACCCCUCCGUUCUAGAGUUUAUUACGUUAUUUACCACUGACAAACCGGUCAACAAUAUUUUACAUUUUGACUUUUCUAAUAUUAGGAUUGAGAUAAAAAUAAAAAACAUUGUAAUAAUAACUUUUACUUGUUAUUAUGGUAGAUUACAAAAUUUUUUACAACAACAAUGAAUCCACGAUCUUACAGUAAAUAUUUUAUAUUUUUGCAAGAUGGGUUAGUGAGUGAAUAUAAACAAAUAAAUAACAAUUUUGUGAAAAAUGGAAAAAGAGUUGAAUUCUUUUUUAUAAAAAGUUAGGUGUUAAGAUGAUCAACCUUUAAGAUUGAUGAUUUCUUGAGUUGAUCGUAUCGAUCUCGUUGAUAAUCCACAAGAAUACAGAGUUGUCUUAUGGCUUCUCUCUUCUCUUCUCCUAAACUCAACAAUUCUACUUCUCUUCCCUUCACCUUCAUCUCAAGCUCUUUUAUCCUCGUUUCGAAUUUGCUCAAAACCUUUGCUAGUUUCAGUUUCUCUGUUCCUUCUUCCGCAAGCUUCUUCUCUAGCUUUGAUAACUUCUCCUUCAACAAUGUUUCUUGAGCUUCUCUGCAUUCUAGCUUUGCCGUUAGAGUCUCUACCUCGCUCUUCUUCUCACUCACCCAAAGCUUCGCUGACUCCAUCUCUUUUGCUAAUCUAGCAACUCGGUUCGUGGUUUCCUCUGCUUCUUCUAGUUUCUUCAUCGCGGUUUCGGAUCCUGUGUACCCUUUUUCCAAUGCGCCUUUCAUUUUAUUGAAUUGGGUUUCGAAAAACAUCAAACUUUCUCUGUUUUCCUUGUUUUCUUGAAGCAUGUCUCGGGUUUUGAUGUAGUCGUUCUUGCUCUCUAAGUGUAUCUGUUCAGCUACGUGGAUCCUCCUGUAUAGUAUCCUAAUAUGAUCUUCUAUCUUCAUCCGGAAAUCUUCAGCUAAUUCUUCCAUUUUCCUCUCUAACGCAUUUGGAUUCAGUUUCGAAUCUCGGCUCGAACCAAAUGACCAACGUUUCGAUAGCUUCUGAUCUUCAGAGAACUUAUCAAUGGUGUCUUUUUGUUCUUUGAGAAGCCUCUGUUGAUCCUUGAUUUUCGCCGAUAGCCUGCGAAAAGAGAAACAUACAGACUUAAAGCCUGAAUACUCCGAGAGCAGUCGAUUACUUUGAAAAUCAAAACACGUCUGUUGUUUACCUGCGAAUAAUAUCAUCUUGUUCCUUGACCAAUUUCUUCUGAUCAGAAACCUGAAUGUCCAAUUUCUUGCUCGCAUCUUCCAUUUCAUGAGCGCUCUCUGUCUUCAUCUCCAUAUGUAAUGAUUCGAGCUCUGCGAUUCUUCUAUGCAGCAUCUGAUUUUCUCCUCUAAGAUGGCCAAUCUCUUCAUUCAGUCUAUUACGCUCUUCCUCUGUUUCUUCUUCCAGACUUUUCAAUUGCAUCUUCGUCUCUGUAACUUCUUCUACUUUCUUCUCCAACUUUGCUUCAGAUUCAUCUUUCUGGCUCCGCAAUGAUUCAAGCUCAUGUUUCAUACCAUUUACCUGAUCCGUCAAUCCCUUAACGCGUUCUUUCUCUUCGACUCUCUUAACUUCUAAAUUUCCAGCCAAACCCGCAUUUCGUGCACGAAGGAAACCGAUUUCUUGUUCUAAAUUUUUUAAUUGGCAUUUCAAAUCUUCGAUUCUCGAUGUUAAACCCAACUCACUAUUCCCAAACUUGUUCACAAGUAUUGAUAUCUCAUCCCCUUUCUCUUUCAAAACCGAUUCCAAACCGGAGAUCUGAGAUCUUAGCCCUUUGUUCUUCUCUCCUAAUUGCUUACUUUCACUAGCUUUCAUCGCAAUCUCUUUCUCUAAAUUUCCUUUCCGAUCACACUCAGCUUUUGCAUUACCUAGCUCUCGUUCUAGCUCCUUCACACGCAAAGUCAAUUCUCGUUGUUUCUCUUCAGCCUCAUUCCUCAAUGCCUCAAUCUUGCUUUGAAGCUCACCAAUUUCAAUUCCUUCCUCAACAACAUUCUCUAUUUCCUCUGAAGAGUAAUAUUCCAAAUCCGAACUCGAUGAAGCAACACGCGAUUUCCCUUUUCUUCUGCCACCACUUUUCGGAUCUAAAUCUUGUUGGAAAUCAUCACAUACAGAAUAGAGAGACUGACACUGCUCUUGAAGAUCGUUAACAAUCCCUAGAAGCUCUCUCUUUGAAUCCCUUGGAAUCCUGUUUUUGUUUUGGAUGAACUUUAAAAGUUUUGAAACUUUCUUCUCCACUUCUGCAGAGAUAACAAGAGAACUAACAAAACCUUACAUAAACAAUUUUCAAAGACGAAAAUAGUAUUUGCUGUGAUUUAAUCUCCAUUGAGCAUUAAUUCAAAACAAAUCUUACCUGUUUUUGCUCGCUCCAUUCUUACGAUCCUCGUUCUUGCCUCUGCAUUUGAACCUCACCAAACAGAAAGAUCAAUAAAAUGUCCUGCAAACACACAAAAUAGCAAAAAUCACAAAUGUUUAGUAUCAUAUAUAUCCAAAAGGAAACCCCUGUCAUUAUUAUACGUGACAAUAAUCUUUUAAUUUAUGCAUUGAUGGGAGAAAUAAUCUUUUGCCCUGUAAAAUGGGAAUGAACCACAUUUCUGAUUACUUUUACCCCAAGAAAGCUUCACAAAAAACAGAAUAAGAGAAUGAUCUCACGUAACGAUACAAUGGGGAUCAAAUCAAAAUAAAGAGACCACUGAAACAUCGAUUUUGAUCAGAAAGAUUGGAGAACAGAACAAACUGUAUUCUACGAUUUACAUUGUCCCUUCAAAAUUUUCUGCACUUUCUCAGCAAAAUCACAAUUCUUUAAAAUUGACAGAAAAAAAAAAGGAUUGAAAAUAUUACCAGGUGUGAGAUCGAAUAGUUGUUUCUUCGCCUUCCUUGGAAAGCUGAAACCAAACAAUGAUUUAAAUCUAAUCAUGAUUUUUAAAUUAGAAAGAGAGAUUUUUAGCAAAAAGAUAGAGCAAUAUUAGAAGAUAGAGCAAUAUUAGAAGUUGUGAUAAGAGGAAAAAAGGAUAAAUAAAUAAAAUGUAAUGGUUUUUUUUGUUUACCAAUAUUAGAAGACAUGUACUCAAAAAUCCUAACCUUUUCAUUUAUAUCAAGCCAUAAUCUGUUGUUCUUCACAAUUAAAACCAACUAAUGCCUGGCAAUUUCCCUCCAAAGCUUUCUGAUAUUCCAUCUCUAAGCCUUUCUACUUCAUCCCAUCUCCCAUAUCUUGCAUACACAUUAGAGAGCAUCACUUUGUAAACACUUCUUCUCUCUUCUCCACUCUUCUGUAUUUUCUCUGCUACUACUUCAGCCAAAUGAGUGUUCUCAUGAACUUCACAACAUGACAAUAGUGCUCCCAAAAUUCCUGAAUCAAUUGGUUUUCGUAAUGACAUUACAAACUCAAAUGCUUCUUCCAGUUUUCCAGCCAUUCCCAUUAGCUUUACAAUGUAAACAUAAUGCUCUGUUUGCGGCUUAAUACCAAACUCACUCUUCAUCCUCUCGAAGAUAUCUUGACCUUUGUCUAAAAGACCCGAAUGGCAACAAGUACAAAGAAGAGCAGAGAAAGUGAUCUCGUCGGGUUUCAAUCCCAUCUCAAGCAUCUCAGUGAACUUUUCAAACGCAGAGGAAGCAAAACCGUGCAAGCCAAGACCCAAAAUAAGGGAGUUGAAAGAAACAAUGUUUUUCUCUGGAAUUCCUGCGAAAAGACUCAUCGCGCAAUCCAGAAGCCCACAUUUUGAGUACAUGUCUAUAAGACCAGAGCACACCUUUAUAUCAAGUUCUAGUCCUAGUCGAAUAACAUAACCGUGCACUUUUUUCCCGUAGACUGAAUUCGAUAACUCAGCACAAGACCCUAAUACAAUCGCCACAAGAACACAAUCUGGCUUCUUACCACUCAUUCUCAGCUCAGCAAACAUAUGCAAAGCCUCCUUGUGAUUCCCGCAUCUCGAAUAACCAGUUAUCAAAGAAGAACACGCAACUAAAUCAGGCUCACAGAUGCUAUUAUACACACUACAAGCAGAAACUAUGCACCAGCAUCUCGAGUACAUGUUAACUAAAGCACAACCAACAUAAGAAUGAGAAUCUAGAUUGAUUUUCAAACAAAAUCCAUGAACAGACCAAGCAAUGAGUAACAAACUAGGAUCAAUCAAACCAAUUGUUAGCGCUACCAUUGUAUAACAAUUCGGUAGAUGUCCUCGAUGUUGCAUCAAGUUAAACAAAUUGAUUCCUUUAUCCCAAAAUCCACAGCAUCCAUAUCCAAGAAUCAUAACAUUCCACAGAGCAAGAUCUGGAUCUGGUAUUGAACAAAACAACUUACUUGCUUCAACAAUAAGGCCAGCUUUUGAAUAAGCUUUAACAAUUGCACUGCCACAAAUUUGAUCAAAACCAAGACCAGACAUAAUUGCAAUCCCAUGAACACGUCUCAGUCCCUCUGUAUCGAAACUCUCUGAAAAGCCACGAGCUAAACACGCAUAGGUGAAGUUAUCAGGUCUCGUAUCAGAACUCAGCAUCUGAGAGAAGAGUGACAAAGAAGUACUAAAUUGAUAAGCUUUAGCAUAAGCUCGAAUAAUAGAGUUCCAGAGGAAAACACUUCUCUCAGGAAAUACGUCGAACAGUUUGCGAGCAGACACGAGAUCAUCGUUUAACGCAUAGAAUCUAACAAGUUGCGUCGCGAAAUACGGGUCACGCGCGAGUUUGGACUUGGUAACAAAGCUAUGCAGUUUCUGGGUACUCAAUCUCGUUUGAAAUUUCCUCGAGAACUCAUAGAUAAUCAAACGUAACUGCGUCUGCGAGGCCAUUACAGAUAAACGCAAAAAUCCAAUCUUUAAUCGAACAAAACCUCAAACACAGGAGUUCCAAAAUCGGAAUAAGACUUUAGGCGAAGAUGGUACAAUAAAAGUGUAAACUUGCAGAAGCUAGAGGGAAGUAUCUAAAGAAAGCAAAUUUACACAUACAAAAAAAAAAUGGUAUUUAAGAGGUUACACAAAAAAGGGUUAGUUUUAAGGUUCUUCAAAAACCAAGAUGCGUGUGUUUCAAAGCUAUGUAAGCUCAGAGUCUGAAGCAGGACCAGUGAGUUGUCUACGUCUUCCAUGGCUCAAAGGACUCAUAGGACUCAAAGGCAAUCUUGUAUCCUUCCUUGCUUUGCUGCUGCUUCUUCCAAAUGGACUUAGUGGUGAUGACACUUUCGGUGUUGAUCUCGGUUUUAUAGGCGAUGAUCCUGGAGACCGUAAACCUGCAAUGAAAAGGAUGAUUAAUCUAUUUGGUUUGAUCCAUCAGAGAGCUUUAGAACUAAGUGGUUUGGCUUAUCUGACCUGAGAUUGAGUUUCUUCUGUUUUUUAUGGUGUCACCACUUUUCUUUAAAGCUGAUGUCUUUUUGAUUGGAGCUUCUGAGUAAACUGAUCUUAUAUCUGAGUAUUCAGAUAUUGCAUCUAAGCACAAUGACUUUGUAUACAUUGGCAUUGUUGGUGGAUCUUCAACCACUGAAACACCUUCAGAAACAGAUUCCCCUGUUUCUGAAUUCUCUUCUUUGUUAAAGUUUGGACUCAUCUUCUCUUUCUCUGCAAUCCUGUAUGAGUAGAGCUGGAAUGGUAUUUGUGUCACGGAUCCUGCGUGAGAACCUGACUCCAUUGAGAACUUUUUCAAGAAUCUUGCUUCUAAGUCCCAGCAAUCAACAAGUGGGUUUUGGAUUUGGAGGUGGCCGUGAUCCGGAUUCACAACUAGGAAUUUCUUGAUGUAGCGGAGGAUCCGGCAUAUCGAAGAGAAUGUUGGACGCUGACUCGGUUCUGAAUGCCAACACCGUUUAAUUAGACUAACGAGGUAUUUUGGCGAAGGGAAUGGGAAGAGAGGUCUCUCUCCCGUUCUUAUGUUCUUAGCCAUUUUCUCGCCUUGAAGAUGGUCAUCUUCAAAUGGAACUUUACCGGUUAUAAGCUCGAAACACACCAUAGCAAAGCUAUAGACAUCAGCUUUAUGUGUAAACUUUGAUCUCGGAGCUGUACCUUUGAGAUCUUGUUCCAUCUCUGCUAGAACUUCAGGUGCAUACCAUAUUACAGGAUCGGGUGUGGUUGGUCUAGAGGAAGCCCGAGAAAAUGACUGAUUUUUAACUGAGGUCAAGCCGAAACCUGAGAUUUUCGCGUGGAAAUAACCUUCGGUGUGACUUCUCUCUUUCAAAAGAAUGUUCAUGGGAUUCAAAUCUCCAUGGAAAAUCUCAUUAGAAUGAAGAUAUUCCAUCCCUCUCGCGAUUUGAAGCAUUAUAUCGAUCACAACGGGAACAGAGAAAAGAUACCUUCUUCUAGGUCCACAAUUCUCCUUCAUGUAGCUUUUCAAAUCUUUGUGCAUUAACUCCAUAACCAGAGAACAUUCUUUCCUUUCUUCAUCAUAGAAUCCACAAAGGUACUGAAGUAUAUUCGAAUGACAAAGCGAUAACAGAGAAGAAAUCUCUGCAUUCAACGGCUCAAGAUCCCCGAAAAAAUGUCUCAACACAAAACUAUCCCCUAACCAUUGAAUCUCCUUGUACUGACCACCACCACCUAAUCUCCGCCUCACUUGGUAAUCCUUAGAACCAACAAGUAUCGAACUCGGGAAGAGCUUACCGUUAAACUGUUCCAAUCCAGUUAGUUUCUUCAACAGAAAAUCAGCUAAACGCUUCUCAGUCUUCCCAAUCUCAUCGCUCUUGGACUUCCUCUUCUCUUGCAAUGCCUCCACUAGAUUCCACCUAUCUUCCCUCCAAGAAUGCUCGAACCGAAUGCAAAUAUCCCUCGGUACCAAAUACUGUUUCCCAUACCUCCACUGAAACAGCUUGGGAUCAUUCCACUCCCUAUCAUACUUUCUUGAAAACACAACUCUCCUCCUCUCCAUCUCAGCAGGGUCGAGACCCGAAAUCUCACCCGCUGUCUCGAUGGCUUCGAUCACAGCCGAGAAGUAACAAAGCAAAUUGUGAAUGUGAAACUCAACACAAUCUUUGUUCUGAUGAAAGUUGAUAACUUUACCCCACCAAUCUUUAUUAGACAUACAAUUCCGAACAUACAUUUCGCCUUCUUUAAAAACUCGAUAAAGCUCUCUCAAAGGCUGUUCAAGAGCUCUCCAUUUAGUAUGCUUCUCUUCAAGCUUCAAGUGGUGUCUGAUCUCUUCGGCUACGGUGUUGAAAGCCAAACUGAAAAUAUCUAACAACAAACAACAUUGUCUUUGGUUGAUUAAGAUAUCGUCUUGUAAUACCAUUAGCGCGUUUAAACUUCCAAGAACCUCUCCGAUUUGCCUGAAUUGCUCCAUCACAUUACAGGCUUGCUUGUCAAGUAUUCAAAUUUCUCGAACAAACUGAAAAAAAAACAUGAUUCGCUUAAAUCAUUUAUAUAUAUGAUUCAUGAUUCUAGAUCCAGCAAUAUUAAGGAAUGGAAGAAAAAAAAAACCUGAAAUGAAGAUCUUUUUUUUUGUUCAAGGAUCGAUGAAUUCUCUUGGAAUAUAUGAAAUCAUAUGGUUCAACCAAAAGAUCAACAAUCUUCUCCAACCUGAUCAUCAUCAAAUGAAUCCAUCUCAAAAUUAGGGUUCAAACUAUAAAAUUCGAGGAGAAAAUCAACCGCUAAAGAAUCGAUCUUUACCUGUAAAACUUUGAAUCAGAAGAAGCUUCAAAAGAGAGAGAAAAAAAGCUAAGAAGAAGAAUUUCUUCUCUUCUCUUUUGGGUUGCUUCUAAAUUUUUUUUCCCAAAGGUUUUCGCUGUCUCUCUGUAACGGUUUUGCAGAGAAAGAGCUAAAUAAUUUUUCCAGGACUUUUUUUUUUUUUUUUGUUCAAACGUCAAAGUGUUACGUUUUCGUCAGGUGUUUUUUUCUUUGUCCGCAUUAUUUGGAACCCAUUUACGAAGUGUUCCCGCGAGUUUCGUCAUUAAUUAAUUAAUUGAUAAUGUACUUAAUUAGAGUUUGAUUUGAGUUAAAAAGGAAACAAUUAAUAAUAACUAGGACAAUAACUACGGUGUGUUUCGGUCUAAAACAGCGUUGUUUUAUCGACUUUUUCGAUCUAAACGUUGUCGUUUUGUAGUCUCAACCUUAAUCCAUUUGAGCAUUUUCUUUCCCAAGUCUUAACAAAAACAACCUAAUAAAUUAAGAUUGAUUCUGACCAAAAUAUAAAUAAGAUUAAGGCUGAUUAGUCUAUAUUUGAAUUCUUUUACGCAUUUGAAUCUUUGACCUUCCAACUAGAAUUUUGAAUGUUAAACUAAAAAAAGAAGAGUAGACAGUGAGGCAUAUAAUGUUUGUUUAAGAGAAAAGAUGACUAUUUUGGAAAAAAUAUGUAAGAAGCAAAAUUGAAGAUAUAAUCUUCAUUUUGUAUACGCUAAUAAUACUUCAUAUGCUGGUUUAAGGUACUUUAGUUGGCAAAUAUAUCGGCAAUUCUUAACAAAAACAAACGAGUCAUGAUAUGACGAGUAACAAAAACAUAAAACAAAAUUGAACAAGUUAUGAUUAUUGAAUUGAAAUCAUUAGUUAUACUCUAUAGAAGUCAAAUAUUCAUCAUUUUUAUGCUAUGUGAUCAUAUGUGUUCAGGACUUCAUGUUAAAAAAUGCUACGUGUUUAGGUUGAAGAUAGUGUUGGUUUAAGCUUGAAGGAUAGACCGGAGUUUACUUGAACCGCAAGAUAUCAGUUUAAUAAAAAGAUAGAGUCAAAUCUUUAGGAAUUAUCUAGAAGAUUUAUUAGAGUCCUAAUCAAGUUAGGAUUAGGUCAAGUGUUGAGACUAUAUAAGCAUAUAUCGAGUUUGUGGUAUAGCUUAUGAGUUAAGAGAGAUUUGAGAUUAAGAGAGAUUGUUUUGUGAGCUUUAGUUUUGAGAAUUUUCUAAAGCAUAUCAAUAAGAGAGUAAUUCUUAAAAGCUUUGUGUUCUUAAUCUCCUUUGAAUUCUAGAGAUAGAAAUUUUGAAGAUUAAAAAGAUCAUUAGUUCGCAAUUCGCGAGGUAGCAUAAAUUGAAAAGGUUUUCAUAGUUGAUUAUCUUUCCUUCUCUCACAUUGUUUGCACAUAUCUCUCAAAGCCUUGGAGGAUCAUACAAGUUAUGAUCACGCAAACUUCCAUUUUUUUCCUCAAGUUUCUGAUCGAUGAAGAGAAUUAAUCGAUGACAACUUCUUGAUUCAAGAAUCCGACAAAACAAAAAGGUUAGUUCUACCUUAACACUUAAAACACUUUCUAGGUGUGUGAAAUAGCAUUCCCUUCAUUGGAAUUCAUUUUUACUAUAUCUUUAGAAUCAGAAUAUUCGUUUCGCCAGAAUUAGGGAGAUGUGAGUUAGCUAGUACUAAUUGGCCCCAAAACAAAGAGUAUAGGCCAACAAAUGUCUUCAGUGAUUUGAUAAUUUUUCAGAAAGGUAAAAUAUUUAUUAGUUAAUGUUUUUUUAAUUUGAUAAAACUUUUAACAAAAGUUAAACUGGAGUUUUUUACUUUUAAUUUUAAUAAUUUAUUAAAAUUAAAAGUACUAAGGAAACUAAGAAAGAGAAACAUAUAGCUGGAAAAUGGAAAUUACUAAAUUUAAUUUAGAAAUCUGCUGAAUGAUGAGAUAAGAACAAAUUUGCUAAUUUUAAAGAAAAUAAAUUGACAAAGUGAUGGAAGUGACUUGUGGAUUAUUAUAUAAGUCGGAUGUUAAUUAAAAACAUAAAAUAAAAUAAUCAAAAAUUGUAUAUGAUAUAAUGAGUUGUUAAUCUAUUAGAAAAAAACAAUUGCGUUUGUUCAUGUAAAUCACUAUACAAGUGUUAGUCUUGUGUAAAUGUAAAGUUGUCGAGAAAAGAGAAGUUUUCCAUAAAAUUUGAAACAAUACUCUGUUUUCUUCUCUCUUCCAAUUCUAUUUUACUUUUCUUGAUCACAUCAAACCAAUAAUAUAUAAACUGUUCUCUACCGAUCCAGAUUUCGUGCUCGUCUCUUUUUCCAACAAGAUCAUGAGUUCUCCGGUGCUAAAUCAAGACAUAAUCCAAGAGGUUCUUUCUUAUUUCCCGGCUUCAAAAAUUGGAAAAUUCAGGCUCCUGAAUAAAGAGUGCAACAAGAGAAGCUACGAGUCAUGGUUUCUCAAUCUCAAUUUCCAUAGAACCAACUAUAUCUCCGGAUACUUCCUAGAACGCUACGAACGAGGAUACAAACUUGAUACCAGUUUUGUCCAUGAGAGGAGAGAUUUGGAAAACAAAGGAGUCUCCAUCGAUUUUCUGCCACAGGGAGAGGGAAAGAUUAAAGCUUGUGAUGCAAGUCAUGGAAUAUUGCUUUGUGUUAAUGAUACAGGAAUAAUACCGGAAUACAUAGUCUGCAAACCAACCACAAAACAGUAUCAGAUCAUACCAAACCCAAAAGUGGGGAGAUGUGAUAAGUCACUCGGUAUAAUGGUAACCGGAUUGAACCCUUUCCGGUAUAAAGUAUUUAGGCUUUCGAAGUCGCCCGGUAUGAAUCGGAGUCUCAGAACUUUUGCGUGCGAAGUUUUUGAUUCCGAUUCGUUUAUGUGGAAGAGGAUAAAAAAUCUGCGUCUACCAAGAACAGACGGUUUAAUUUUUUCAAACCCGGUACAAGCUUCGGGGUUCUUGAAUUGGAUAUCACGGAACAACAACGUGAUCCGGUUAUGUCUCAAAACCGAAACUUGGUCUUUCUUACAUACCCCAAACGUUGGUAUAUUCCCAGAGUUGGUCAGAUACGAAGGGAAGCUAGGUGUUAUUCGUCACUGGAUAAACAACAAUCAAGAAGAUGUUCACGGAUUAUGGGUUUUAAAGAGCAGUUUUGAGAAGUCGUGGAUAAAAGUGAAAGAUAUUAAAAGCAUUGGAGUAGAUCACAUUGUGUGGACUCCAAGCAACGACGUCGUAAUGCUUUCUAGUUGGGAUCGUGUCUGCCUCUACAACAUUAACACAGAAAAGUUGAACUUAGUUCAUACAAACAAAGAUUUUGCCUCUUACGUUUGUUUCCCGUUUUGUUCUGAUUACGAGAAGAUUGAUCUGGAUUCUGGACGAAAGAAGAAAUGGACCUACAAAUGCAAACUAGUCAACAAGGCCCAACGUGGGGCACAAAAUAUAGGAAUAUUUAAUUUGUUAUAUGGUUUGUUCUUCUUUUUUUUCUUUUUGGCCAAAUAUGGUUUGUGCUUCUUAAAAGCUUAUGUAUGAAACCAAACAUUUUUUUAUGAAUAUCUUUUUUUUUUUUUUUUAUCAUGGGUGAGUAAUCUAAUUUUUUGGCUAGUUAUUUUGAUGUAAUAGGAUAUAGUGUCCAAAAUUUCUUUUCUUAGAUAAUUUAAUAUAUUUGGUGACAAAAAAGUCAUUUUUAAUAUAUUAGAAAGCAAUAAAAUCUUGAUCAUAUAAGCGACAAAUAUAUAGACUAAACAGGUAAUAUCUAAUAUUAUUUACACAUAUAUAUCUUAUCACCAUAACACGUAUCACGAAUGUAUAUUAUUGAGAUUAUAAGUUUUCAUACAUGUCCUAAACUAGUCAAACUAGAAAAAAUGUGGACAGCAAUACUUUCUUUACCGUGGUCAUACAUGUCCCCUGACUUGUCAUUUUUGCUAUCCUUAGCUAGAAUCAGAAUUUUCCGAAAAAAGUGUGGGCCAAAAAUGUGUUCAGUGAUUUAUAUUUGGUAAUUUUUCAUUAAGCUUAAAAUUUUAUUAAUUACAGUAGUGUGAUGAAACAUUUAACAAAAGUAUAACUAUAGACAUUUUUUGUUUAAAUUUUAAUAAAUAACAUUAAAUUGAAAAUACUAAGGAAACUAAGAAAGAGAAACAUAUGAAAAAUGGAAAUGACUAAAGUUAAUUAGAAAUCUGCUAAACAAUAAUAGUUCUUUCUUUUUGCUAAUUUUUAAAAGAAUAAAUUGGCAAAAUGAGGGAAUUGACUUGUGGAUUAUUAAUUUACUAGCGUUAGAACCCGUACUACGUACGGGACCAAAAUAUUUACUUGUAUUUGUGUUAAAGAUUUAUUGUAUUUUUUUUGGGACUUUUGCAAAAAUGCCCCUUUUUCAAUGCCACUUUUCAAAAAUGCCCAUUCUUUAAAAUUUUAUAAAAAAUGUUCUUAAAAAUAUAAAAUUUACCCAAAUAUGUAUGUAACAUUAUUAAAACAUACACAAACUACAUUUCUAUGUAUCUAAAAUCUUAUAAAUACUUUAUAAAUAUCUUAUAAAUACAUUUUAAAUACCUUUAAAAACUUUUAAAAUAUUUUGUAAAACCUUUGAAAAACCUUAUAAAUCCUUUAAAAUAACUUGUAAAACCUUUAAAAACACCUUAUAAAACAUUAUAAAUACUUGGAUCGAGUCUUCAAGUAGUAGUUACAAUCCAUAAGUACCUUAUCAACCUAAUAAAACUUUAUAAAAAUUUUAGAUUUAAAAAGGGCAUUUUUGAAAAUGGACAUCUAAAAGGGGCAUUUUUGAAAAGAGGCACACCAAAAGGGGCAUUUUUAAUAAUUUCCUUUUUUUUUUUUGUAAGUAAAGAUUUAUUGUAUUUUAAGAUCAAGUUUGUGCUUAUACGAUUAUUGUGUUCUAGAUUUAUUAUAUUUUAAGAUCAAGUUAUUGAAAGCGUAAGUUAAGAAAAUGCUCUUUAACAAAAAAGUAUUCUUGGUCUAGUGGUUGCCACUUGUGGAGGAGUUGCCCUGUUGGUCUAGGCCAGAGAUCGAUUCCCCGCAAGCGCGCAAUUGUUAGAUCUCCACUUGGCCAUAUGGAUAUGGGCCCUUAACUUUCGGCCCAUUUGCAUACCCGGAGAGAGAGUCUAUCUGUGGGCUGCACCUCCCCCAUGGGAUUAGUCUAGGCCCCUCCAUAGGUCUGGGAUUCCCCUGAGUUAUCAAAAAAAAAAAAAAAAAGUUAAGAAAAUGCAAAUAUAGUAAGAGAUCUACUCACUUCGUUUGACAUGUAGAUUUGCUAUCUCUCUAAACAGUUAUUUUUGACAUGAAGAAACUUUAGCACCUAUUGAACUGUGCAGAAAUAGAUGUAAUAAUCGGGCGACAUAACUGGAGAAUGGAAUUUGUAAUAUGAACCUGCAAUGUGAAAUAGAGAAUUUGAUGAACAUUAGAAACAACAAUGAACAAACUAAACCAGAAUUGAGAAAUUCAAAAACAGAAAAUGUAAAAUGAAAGAUUUUGAAAUAAAUAAUUUGAUGAAAAGAUGAUGAACAAACUUAACCAUAAUUGAGAGAUACAAAAACAGAAUUGUAAAUUGCAAAAAGAAGAUGAGACAUAAGAUUGAUGAAAGCAUGAAAUCAGAACAUAGGUUCCUCCAUAGUGAAGAAGAAUCAUACCUUUUGCCAACGGUUUCUUUUCCUUCGUUUUCUUUUGACUCAAUCUCAUCUCCUUCGUUUUCUCCCUUCUCCGUGGAUCUAGGUUUUUGAAUUCUUGGGUUUUGAAUGGAGGACGAAGCAAAUAGAGGUUUAGUAUGAAUAUGAAUUUUUGAUCAAGUGAGAAUUAUAUUAGUGACACUUUGUUGAAUCUCAGAGAUCAUGGAAGAACAGUAGAGAUCGUGGGCAGUUGAAGGAUAUUGUUUCUGUCGUAAUUCUUUUUUUUUUUUUUCUUUUGAAGAGUAAAAGUUUUUUUUUUCGUUUUAGUGAAGAUAGAUAAAUAUGUAAUUUUUUUUGUUUUUUAUUUUUCCCACGAUCUUCCUUUUGUUUAAAAUUAUUUUGAAAAAUCAUUUGUUCUCAUGUUGGCUGGAUUUAGUUUUUUUUUUUUGUUUUAAAUUUAAAUUUUAUGUAUUAUCGAUUUUUUGUUUUACUUUUUUGCCAUGAUCUCUCUUUUGUUUUACAAUAAAUUUUGUAAAAAAUUUGUUUUUGCUGACAUGUCAAAAUUUUGUUGGUGUUGUGACUUGUGCUUUAUAAGAUAAAGGAUUAUACAAGUUGGAUAUUUAUUAAAAAAAAAUAAUUGUCAAAAAUGAUAGAAGCAUUAUUAUAUAAUGAGUUUUUAAUCUAUGAGAAGAAAAAAAAAAACAAUAAAAAACCAAAGAUUUUUGGGUAAAAAAAAAGUUGUUUCCUAAGUCUAGCAAUUAAAUUAUUGUAAUUUGGUUAAAAGUCAAAAGAGAAAUUUUGGGCUCAAGGUAUCACAAGUAACAUCAAUGAAAGAUUUUAUCUUUGGUUAAUUUGUUUGUUUUUUGGGACACUAUCGAAGAAAAAGGUAAAUAUUGAUACUUUCCUUACACAAAGAAGGAUAUAUAAACACUACAUAUUCAUCAUAAGCUGUUCUCUACCCGUCUACCGAUCCUGGUUUUUAUAUUUCUCAUUCAGUGAUCGUGCUCAUCUCUUUUUUCCCGACAGGAUCAUGAGUUCUCCGGUGAUGAAUCAAGACAUGAUCCAAGAGGUUCUUUCUUAUAUACCGCCUUCAAAAGUCGGAAAAUUCAGGCUCCUGAAUAAAGAGUGCAACAAGAUGGGUCGUUGAGCUUGGAUGGGUCUGUUUCUUCUCCUCUCGGCGGGAUUCUUGCCCAGAUUUGACUUUCCGGUGGUGCAUCGCCGGAUUUCUUUCAUUUCUGCUUACGCCGCGGUGGUCGCAGCUGCUCGGUUUUGCUUCGUGACGGAGCUCGUUGGUUGGUUCAGGUGGCGCAAUCCAAGGCUGGUUGUUUGUGGUGGUUACUGGCGUGGUCUUCCUCACCGCCGUGUUAGCUCUCGGCUCUUUUUGUGGGUCGUCGGUGAUGGUAACCCAUAAAAUUAUCAGAGUUUUGUGGCGGCUUGGCUCCUCUCCGGUGUGGCUUUGGGCCUAGUUUGGUUCAUUCCGGUACGGUCCUCCUUGAUUGUGGUCCAACGGUGUUGUCUUGCAUCGGCUGGAGUGGGAUUUUGCCUUUGGUGUUUGUGUUUUCUUCGUUUUGAUGCACAGCUUGGUUUGCUUUGCGCUCCGCUCCGGUGAGAGUUUUGUGGUUGAAUAGAGGCGGCGGUUCGGUCUAGGUUGCAUUAUCAAACCCGUGGGAGAUGGUUCCUGUAGCUCCACGCUCGGGAAUGAUGGUCAGAGGCGGCUUCUCUGGCUGUCCAUAGACGCUCUCGUGCCGCCGGGUGCGAUAACGUCCACUCUAGCUGUUCCGUUUUUGCGUUAGUCUUCGGAGAAGCUGUAGGCGCCCUUCUUUCUCGAGGUUUUGGGACAGACUUCGGGUAGGGUUUGCUCGUGGCAACUAGGAUGAGGACUCGAACUCUUUGGAGUUGUGGCAAUCACGCAAAUGUCCGAGUUUCGCGGCUUGGAAUCGGUGUUUCUUCUUCGGAUCUUUGUUGGUUGUUUCGCUGUUGCUUUCCUUGUUGUGUUUUCUCUUGUAUUCGUAGAUCUUUUAGUUGUAGUUUUUGGUUGUUCUGUGUUCUUCGUUUUCUCUGUAAUCGCUGUCGCAAAACUGAAAAUGGUAUAAAACUUAACCUUUUACCAAAAAAAAAAAAAAAAAAAGAGUGCAACAAGAGAAGCUACGAGUCAUGGUUUCUCAAUCUCAAUCUCCGUAGAACCAAUUGUAUUUCGGGAUACUUCCUACAACGCUACGAAGAAGGUUACAAAACAAAUUUUUUCCAUGAGAGCAGUGAUUUACAAAACAAUGGAGUCUCCAUCGAUUUUCUGCCACACGGAAAGGUCAAGAUCGAAGCUUGUGAUGCAAGUCAUGGGAUAUUGCUUUGUGUUGAUAAUACAGGACUAAUACCGGAAUACAUAGUCUGCAAACCAACCACAAAACAGUAUCAGAUCAUACCAAACACAAAAGUGGGGAUUUGGGAUGUCUCAUUCGGUUUAGCGGUAAUCGGAUUGAACCCUUUCCGGUAUAAAAUACUAAGGCUUUCGCAGUCGUCUCGGCGUAUGUGUAUGUCUCGGGGUGUGUAUUAUGCGAAUCACAGAACUUUUACGUGCGAAGUUUUCGAUUCCGAUUCGUUUACCUGGAAGAGAUUAGAAAAUUUGCGUAUACCAAGAACAGACGGUUUAAUUCUUUCCCACCCGGUACAAGCUUCGGGGUUGUUCUUGCAUUGGAGAUCACGGAACAACAAUGUGAUCCGGUUCUGUCUCAAAACCGAAACUUGGUCUUUCUUCCAUACUCCGAACUUUGGUGUUUUCUCAGGAUUAGUCAGAUACGAAGGGAAGCUAGGUGCUAUUUGUCAGUGGACAAACAAAGAUCAAGAAAAUGUUCACGGAUUAUGGGUUUUAACGAGCAGUUUUGAAAAGUCGUGGGAAAAAGUGAAAGAUAUUAAAAGCAUUGGAGAAGAUUUCAUUACGUGGACUCUAGGAAACGACGUCGUGUUGUUUUGUAAUUGGGAUCGUUUUUGCCUCUACAACAUAAACACAGAGAAGUUGAAAUUAGUUCAUACAAACAAGGGCUUUGCCUCUUACGUUUGCUUCCCGUUUUGUUCUGAUUACGAGAAGGUUGAUAGGGACGAAAGAAGAAAUGGGCCGACACUUUUAACAAAAAGAAAAAGAAAUAGGUCGACAAAUGCAAACUAGUCAACAAGGCUCUCAAUAGGCUCGCUCAACGUGGGACAUUAAUUAUCAAUAUAUAUCUCUAGGAAUAUUAAAAAAAAAAUAUUUAUAGGUGAAAAGGAAUAUUUAAUUUUGUUUUUUUUUUUUCAGCAAACUAAAUAUAUUAAUUAACUGGAAUCGUUACAACGCAUGUUUCUGAGCCACAAAGGCUGAUUCACCGAGUCAGAAUAGAACUCUGUAGUGUUACAAGUAAAGGAAGCGAGACAAUGUACAAUGCUAUUACAGUGACGUCUUACAAAGGUGAAGAAAAUUGAAGAAAAUCUAGAUGACCAAAGAUCAAUAUCAAGUAAAAGGUUUGCAAUCUCGAUAUGUGAUGAGAUGCAUGUGAUUGCCUUGAUAAGAAUCUCGCAAUCUCCUUCAAAUUGGAUCUUCUUGUACCCUCUAAUCCAAGCUUGCUGCAUAGCCACUAACAAUGCCUUUGUUUCCGCCUCCAAAGGAGAAGAAAUGUGCGCAAGUUUUGAUGAACCCCAUGCUUUAGCUUCUCCAUGAUGAUCUCGAAUUAUCCAACCGGCUGUACCCCGAGAUGAAUUGAUAUCUACACUUGCAUCAAAGUUACAUUUAACGAAAAAGAAAGGUGGCUUUGUCCAAGAGGAUGUCUGAGUUUGAAACUGCCUUGUUUCCGAAGGUAUCGUAGAUCGUGACCCCAACGUGUGUAACCAUUCUUCCACUUCUGCUUGUGCUUGUAAAACGAUCCGUGUUGGGCUUUCUCUGAAGUUAUUAAAGACCAAUUUGUUUCUAGCCUUCCAAAGUUUCCAUAUAAGCCAAAAUGGGAGAAGUUUUUGAGCUUCGGUAAGAUUCAGGUUGCCAUAAGAUUCAAUUAUAUGGGAUACAUUUUCUUCUGAAUUCUCUGAGAAUUGAUGUCCAUUCAGCACCGGAGAGUUUGAAAGACGCCACGUUAAAUGUGCGAAAUUACAAUUGAACAGAACAUGGCUGAUCGUUUCUUCUUCAGAUGGACACCGCGGGCAAUGUGGGUCGAUUUUCAUUCCUCUUGAAGUUAAUCUAGAUCGAGUAGGAAUAACUCGUGAUGUUAUCCUCCAUAGCAUGUGUUUGAUUUUCGGAAUGAUCGGAAGUUUCCAAAUUUUAUUCUUCAAUUCCACUAAACCAUGCGGAAUGGCUGGUUUAGUUUGUGUAUCCAUAGGGUCAUGUGUAAGAAACCAAUAACCCGAUCGAACAGUAUAAACGACAGAGGUGGUGUAAUGCCAUAUCAGUCUAUCAGGAGGUUCAUUUCUAGAAAGAUAUAUGUUGUGAAUGAAGCUAUGAUCACAAGGAUCAAUGCCUUGGAGAAUUUUUUGGCUAUUCCAAAAUCUAAAUGAACCUUCUUUUGAUAUAAGAUGGCUUACUGUAUUCGUCAUUUAUGUACCUAUGGUUCUGAUUGGUCGCGGUGGGUGAGCAUCGAUCACAUUAUCUUUAUCUAGAUGAGCUGUUUUUCCGUCACCAAUAAGAUAUCUACUGCCUUUUUUAUCACAUCCAAUCCCGCAAGCAGAGAUGUCCAUCCAUAAGAUUGGUAACUUCUUUGUUUUGCAUCCAAUAUACAAUCGUCUUUGAAGUACCUUGCUUUCAUUAUUUGAGCCAAGAGAGAGUUGGGAUAUUGUAUUAUUCGCCAUGCUUGUUUUGCUAAUAAAGCAUCAUUAAACUUUGAUAGAUCUUUAAAUCCCAAACCCCCUUCUUUUUUCGAAUAUUGCAACCUUUUCCACGCAAUCCAUGGAAUCCCUCUCUUCUUUGCAUCCUUUUCCCACCAAUAGUUCAUGAGAACGCCCUCUAUUUCAUCAAUAACUCCAGCUGGUAAUUUAAAGCAUGACAUCGCAUAAAUCGGCAUCGCCAUAGCCACCGAUUUCAACAUAAUUUCCUUUCCGGCUGGUGAUAAAUGCUUUGCACUCCAACUUGAAGUUCGUUUUUUAACUCUUUCAAUGAUGUAAUCAAACAUUUCUCGCUUUUUCCGACCAAAUUGUUUUGGUAGGCCCAAAUAUUUUCCUCCACCACCAUGAUUUCUGAUUCCCAGAAUCUGUUUUAGUCUAUUUUGAGUAGUACCAUGGACCUUUGAACCGAAGGUUAUCAUUGAUUUGGUCAUAUUUAUUUUUUGGCCGGAGUAGUAUUCAUAGAUGUCAAAAACAUCCUUUAAAGCUUGGCAGUUCCUACUAUUGGCUUGACAGAAAAAUAAAGAGUCAUCCGCGAAUUGAAGAUGAGUGAUACUUGGAACUCCCAAUCCAAUUCGUAUCCCCCGAAUAUCUCCAUCCGCAGCUCUAGAAUCAAUGAGGUGACUAAGAAUAUCGGCGCAAAGGAUAAAAAGAUACGGUGAAAGCGGGUUACCUUGUCGAAUCCCGCGUUGUGGUUUGAUAUUGCCAUGAGGAACUCCAUUGAUUAAAACCGAAUAUUGGACUGACCUAACUGUACCCAUUAUCCAUGAAAUCCAUUGUUCAUUGAAGCCAAACAAACGAAGUGUUGUCUCUAGGAAAUUCCAUUCUACCCGGUCAUAAGCUUUGCUAACAUCGGUUUUCACUGCCAUGUACGAUUGAGAAACUCUUUUACGUACCUUUAGGGAAUGCAUCAUUUCAUGGAAUAUUUAAUUUUGUUAAUGGUUUGUGUUUCUUAGAAGUUUAUGUAAUAACACCAAACAUUUUUUUAUGAAUAUUUUUUUGAAAAAUUCCUUAAAAUACCACAUUUCUCAAAAAAAAAUUAAAAACUAGAUUUUAACCCGCAUGAUGAUUUAUUUUUAAAUUAGUAUAUAUAAAAUUUUACAAAUUGAGUAACGGUAUGCCAAGAGUCCACGAGACAAUUGUUAAUAAACUGAGGAUUUAACCCGUAUUAAAGCGAUAUGUUAAUGAUAUUUUAAAAUUUUUAUAAAUAUUGAUUCAAACCUGUCCGCCAUAUAAAUCCGUUCCGAAAUAUAAUCCAUCCCGUAAUUUCUUAACCCGUCCCGUGAUUUGUUUUCUAAAAAUAAUGAUUUUAAAAUUUAAUGAUUAUUUAUUAUAUAUAAAAGUUACAAAUUGUAUAUAUAAUAAGACAUUUAUAUUUUAAUAAACCGAGGAUUUAAUCUGUAUUAAAGCGGCAUAUUAAUGAUAUUUUAAAUUUUAUAAAUAUUGAUUCAAACUCUCGUCCACCAUAUAACCCCAUUCCGAAAUACAGUAUAACUUGUCCUGUAAUUUCUUAACCCGUCACGUGAUUUAUUUUCUUAAAGUAGUAAUUUUAACGAUUAUUUAUUAUAUAUAAAAGUUUACAAAUUGUAUCAUUCUCUAAGACAUUUAUUUAUUAUAGUUUACAAUUGUUAUUAAGUAACAUUAUACCACGGGACAAUUUUUGGUUUUAUACAAUCUUUUCUAAAUGAUACUAAUUUGAUAUGUCUAAUAUUGGUGGUAUUAAAAAAAAAUUAGGAUUUAAUCCGUAUUGAUGCGGCGGAUGAAUGAUAUUUCAAAAUUUUUAUUAUUGUUGAUUCAAAAACCUAUCCCGCCAAACUCGUCCCGCCAAUAAACCUAUUUAUUUUAUUAAUAUUGAUCUUAUUUAUAAUGUGAUUCGGAAUUAUUGUCUAAAUAUUUUAGUCGAUGUGGAACGUUGAACACAUAUUUUUUGUCAAUUAGAUAAUAUAUGUCCGUUUUUAAAAUUUCGAAUCACAGUAUAUGCAGAAAAAAAUCAAUUUUUUUUACUUUAUGUAAUAUAUGAUGAUUCAAAACAGUUAAAAACAAAUUAAAUAAAAAUGAUAGAAAAAUCAUAAUUCUAAAUCUUAAUCAAAUCUUCUAAAUAUCUAAAUUAUUAAAUAUAGAAUAUUCGGUGUCUGAGUUGGAUUAAAUAUAACCCGAUCCAACAAACUUUUUAUGACCAAAUUUGUAAACGGAUCAGAUAUCCAUUGUAUCCAAAUGUAUUUUGCUCCAUCCGCUAAAAAUAUACUUCAAAAAUACUAGUAUAGAUACUAUCACUGGUUUAAUAUUUUCAAUAAUACUACAAAUUCAAUAUAUAAAAUAUUUUUUAAAAUGAAUCACAAUAUUUUUAAUAUUGUGGAAAUAGAAAUCCUAAAUUAGAAAGAGGGAACCCAAUGGUAUAUUUUUUAAUUUUAUUUUGGUUGGACAAAUAUUUUUAUAUAAAAAUUUGUGGUAUUAUUGGGAAAAUAAAUUAGUGAUGAUACUUUUGAACAAAAAUUAAUAGUUGGUAUUUGAAGAUUUUUUUUUUUUAUAAUAAUGGUUAUCUUAUUUAUUGGCUAGUUAUUUUAUUAUAUCAAGGGUUCUGUUUAUGAAAACAAUUAAUGUAUAGAAUACAGUGUCCCAGAUUUCUCUCAUAAAAUAAUAUAUUAGUCGAUAAAAAGAUAUUUUUAAUAUAUUAGAUAUACAAUAAUAUUUUAAUAUUUACAAGCGACAACAAAAAAAAAUCUUAAUAUUUAUAAGCAACAAAUAUAUAGACAAAACACGUUAUAUCUUACUAUUGUUUACAUAUAUUUAUAUAUCACUAUAACACGUAUGUAUGUUAUUGAACUUAUUAAAAAAAAUGUUAUUGAAAUUAUAAGGUUUCAUACAUGUGUAUUUUACACGUAUAUUCUCCCAAAAAAAGCAUGGUGAUGGUACACAAAAUUUAUUAAUAUUUGGCAAUUAGAUUUUUUUUCUAAAGUUUAUCACAAUAUGUAUUAACUUAUAACAGAUGGUAGAAGAUAAGAAAAUUACAUCAGAUUCAUGCAAUUAAAUUUUAUAAUAUAUCAUUUUUAAAAAAUUAAUUAAAAGAAGAACUUUUUAAUAAAAUUGAUCAAAAGAUAAUUAAUAAAAAUAAUUAAAUAUGUGAUACUAAUGAUUAAUAGAGAGUUAUUGUAAAUUUACUUUAAAAUCAUACAAAUCUUAUCCUAAUUUGAUUUGUCAUUUAAAAAUCCUAAAGAAAAAAACGCGGACAACAAGACUUUAUUUACCUUUGUCCUAACUCCUACUUAACGUACCCUAUUUAUUCAGCAUAGUCUUAUAGUAGUUACGUUGUUGAAUUCACAGAAUAGAGCAGACAUCUUUAACCUAUCUUUUAAUUUUCUGAUCUAGAUCGUUUUCAAUCCAAAAACAUCGAAAUCAUGAGUUUUUCGGUGAUGAACCAUGAGGUGAUUAUUCAGAUUCCUUCUUCUUCUCAAUUUCCAGCAACAUCGAGUCCGGAAAACACCAAUCAAGUGAAGGCUGUGAUUGUGAAGCAGCCAAAUUUGUUUAGACGUGUUAUGAAUUUGCUUUUACGUCGUAAUUCUUGAAAAAACCGACUUCGCAAGAUUGAGAACAAGAAGUCGAAGGCAAAUAAUUAAAGAAAUAUUUUAUAGUUUUAUAUGUAUACAGGAUAAACUUUUAAUAAUUAAACUCCUAGUUAAAAAAAUGUAAUUUUAUAUGUAUUCGUCAUGACUUUCAUGUUAAUAAUGUAAUUUUAUAAUUAAAAUUUUAUAUGUAUUCGUCAUGAUUUUCAUGUUAAUAAUGUAAUUUUUUCCUAUAUAUAUAUAUAUAUAUAUAUAUAUAUAUAUAUAUAUUGAUUUUGCAUGUGUAAGAGCGUUUUUAUUUGCUAGAACAUGCAAGGACGAUAGUUCCAAAAAAUUUCGACUUGAUUAAAUUAGUGAUUUGCUAAAAAAAAAAGAGAUUAAAUUAGUGUAAACAAGCUGAACACUGAAAAUUACUUUUUCAAUAAACGAAAAAUAUAAUAGAGGUAAACAUUGACGUAAGUUUAAAAAACUUAUUUGAGUAAACUUAAUAUACAUAUAUACCUGAUACCUUUAUCACUUUAUUUCAAAGAAAAAUAAUAGAAAUAACUUUCAUCAUAUGUAAAUCAAAUUCUUCGGUUUUAUAACAAUUAACCUUGAAGUUAUUUAUAUAUUUUUAUGAAAAUAUAUUAAUUAAAUGUUUUAUCAACUUGCUUUUAUUCUAUGGAUGUUGAAGCAACAAAACCUAAUGGGUACGGCAUUUUACACAUGCAUCAUCAAAUACAAGUCUUGGCUAAGAUUAUAAGAAUAUACAACGCACUAGAACGCUUUUGUUGAUGAUUCGCUUCUCUCGGAAUUGCGUCUAGUUGUGAGGCUUGUGAUCAAGUUAGUGAAAAAUUAAGAUAAAAACAAGUCCGCCAAUAGUAUGCGAUUUCAGAGGUUUAAUUAGGAUCUAAAUAGCGGAUUUAAAGCAACUAAAGAAACAAAUAAUCUUUUCGUAAAUAAAGAAAUAUAUCAUCCCAGUUUUAUAUAUUACGAUAUAUAGAUGAAUCGGCGCUUCUAUUUAUACAUUACGCAAAAAAAAAAAUAAAGAUGAAAUAUAACCAUCGAAUUCAUUAUUGAUUUCAUAUCCACCCAAAACUCAUCAAACCUCUUUUUCGAUCUGAAGUCAACAAUCAUGAGUCUUCGGUAAUGAAUCAAGAUGCGAUCUCGGUAAAGAAUCAUGAUGCGAUCAUCAAAAUUUUAAUUUUUAUGGUGUACGUAGUUCAAAUGUUAUCGAAAGCGCUUACGAUUAUGUGUUUUUCCAUUUCAAAUUUUGAAGAUUCAAUAUUGUAUUUGCUAUUUUUUUUUCAAGUAUGAUAAAUAUUUAAAAUUCUAUUCUACAUUUCUUUUUGAUAGGAUAAAUUGCGCAAAAAUAAAACUGAAUCUCACAUGAUUUUAAAUUUCUACCCACGGAAGGAGUAGAUUUGAAGCUUAUGAUGUAAGAUUUUAUUUUUGUGUUAGUGAUUUCCUGGUUAAUUGUAUUUUCUAUACAAAAUUAGGUAUUUAAUAACCAUAUGUCGUUUUUCACUGAACUAUACUCCCUAUGUUUAAUCUUUAACCUGGAAUAAUGUUCUAGAGAUUCUUAUUU
rnacentral:lncRNA from 1 species